rnacentral:lncRNA from 1 species
AACUGGAGACAAAAUAAAUUUAAAAACUUAAAUACAAUAAAAUGGAAUGAGAUAAGAUUAGGGUAACGGUGAAAUUGUCAAAGUCUUUGGAAUAAUGGACACGUGUCAUUUGUUUAGUUCUUUGUCAUUCUUUCCAUAUGCCAACAAACUAGGGAUAUCUUAUUUUCUUGUUCGUUUUUUUAAAUCUAUUAUCCAAUAAGAGAUAUUUGAGUUUUUUUUUUUUUUUUGUCGGCCAUUUAGAUUCAUUGAUAUAGCCCAAAUGGGCAAAUUACAGAAAGUCCAGUAUACAGAAGAUUACAGCGAAAAUAAAGCUUAGGUCCUAACUAAAUCUUAAUUAAAGAAAAUAAAAUAUUGAAGCACAAAAGAUUUAGAAAUUGACACGUGUGGGAUAUGUGAUCUUCUCGAAGCUACGCGUCAAGCCGUGGAGUAGCAUCGUCAACGUCGCCGGACAUCGCUGGAUCGCCGAUUAGUCACCGCCGAUCAGCUCUGAAGCGAUGAGAAUCCUCUUGCUUUCUGCCGAUCUCAAUUCCUAGCCAAACGUCAAGAAAUCUCCGGAUCGAAUGAGAAAAAAUAGCUUCAAAUUCAUUCGAGCAUCACUAUCUUCGGGGAAGCUCCAUCACUAGCCACACCCAACUUGAUGUGGUCAGAUCUUUGCUCUUUCUUCUUUGAGCAAAAGGAAUUGAUGAAGAUAUUACUCCUCGAAAAGAUUGGAAGGAUCGGAGAGAAUUUUGAAGAAAAGCGGAGAUAAUAACGGGCUUAGAGAAAAGAUAUCAAAUCUCGCUAGUGCGAGAAGCAAAACCCGGACAGAGCCGGUACUGAGAAUUCCGACAAAAGCCGGAAAUUAUUUAGUUCGUUCAAAAAACGAAAAUAUGUACAAUUCCGGUGAAGUCCGAAAUCAAAACCGAAAGAAGACUUCUCCACUCUGAAAGAUUUAAGAUGGAUAAGAGAAGAGAAGCUUUUUAGAAUUUCCGGUUAAUAAUUCCGGUACACCGGAAAUCGCCUUCUCUCUGAGAGAGAAAGCUCCCAUUCUUUUUAUUUUAUUCUCUCUAUUUGAGUUAAUUAUAUUAGGAUGAUAUUCAACUACUUAUAUAUAAAAUACAACCAAUUACGAUAAACAAUGUAUACAAAUAAUAAUUUUACGCUGCAAUUUUUUUUAUAAUAUUCGGAUUUCCAACGGACAGUUUUACAUAUACGAUAUUUUCAAGAUAGUUUUAAGCUAAAAUAAAAUAUUUUCUAACUAUAGUUAAAUCUUUUAUUGUUAAUAAAAUGAAUAUUUUAAUACUCUUUUAGUUUGUUGAUUUAAAAUAGAAUUUAUUUUGAUGUAUGUUUAUGUAAAAAAUCAUUAUUAAAAAAAAAAAACAGAAAAUAGUAAUCUAGUGGCAAAUCAAUGGUUUUAUUUUAGGUUUAUUAUUUUGACCAAAUUUUCUUUUAAAUAUUGCCAUGACUUUGGGACAUAUUAAUUUGGUAGAUUUGUAUACCUAGAAAGUGGAACAAGUAAUGUUUUGAUUUUAAAACCACGAAGAUUCACAAUAAAAGAAUAUAAAUAGAUGUGUUAUAGCAAUAAAGAUAGAUAUAUCUUGUAGAUAGAUGAGCUUUAUUAAAAAAAAAAAAAUCUUGUAGAUAGAUAUCUUAAAUAAUAAAUAUGAUCCAUUAAACCAACCAAUGAAGGCUAUUUAAAAUGUUGCAUCUAAUCAAAGCACAAAUCAGGUAAGAAAUGUGUUCUUAGUUAAUGGCAACCAAUUACAUAAAAUUAUGUUUAAUAGUGAAAAAAGAAAAGAAAAGGAAUGUGUUAACUAGUUAAGUUUUUUUUUUUGAUAAACCCUAUCGGCUAUCCGGUCGGCCCCGGUAGAAACGCACCAAGGUACUACAUAGUGGACUAGUUAACUAGUUAAGUUCUUAACGUAAAGUUUGAUAUAUAUCGUUUUUUAGUAAGGAUACUUCGUAGAAGAAGAUAAACUUCGAACAUAAUAAAAAGAUGAACUUCCAAGAUUCUUCUCCUCUUUGUGACAUAUUCCAGAAAUAAAAAUAAUAAUUAAUCAAGGAACACAACAGAAACGAUUAAUUUUUUAUAAGAUAUUUAUUGGGUCAAUAGUUUAUAGAAUAAUAGAAGUCGUAUUACAAAGUGUUUAAAUAAUACAAGAAUCAUACAUACGUCACAUGAGAAAAUGUGAAACAAUUGUUUUGUUUUCGAAAAAGUUAGAAAAAUUGUCAUAUUGGGCCUGUAAAGCCCAUAAGGUCUUGAAAAGAGAAGUGGGACAAUGACUGUCGUCGUCGUCUUUCUCAUCGUUCUCCAGAAACUAGAAACCCUAAUUUCAAAUUCGAAAAUGGCGACACAAAAUCAAACCAUACAUCUCACAGAGGCGAUAUGGACGGAGAUUAUAGCGAGGUUACCAUUGAGAAUCAUCGCUAGAUUCAAACUGGUAAGCAAAACAUGGAAAUCAACAAUCGAAUCAGUCUACUUCCGCCGUCUCUUUGUGUCUGUGCACCGAAAAUCCUCAACCUCGUGGUCGCUAAUGUGGUACGGAUUAAAAGAUCUCAUAGGUUUCCAUGGAUGCGAGACAUGGGGUCUUCCAAAGUCUCUAUCUUUUUAUAUCCCAUCGUCUCUUUACAUUGUUGCGGCGUCUUCCCAUGGAUUGGUUAUGAUUUCAGAGUAUGAUCAUGCUUGCUGCUUUGUGGGCAAUCCAGUUUUACAACAAUGGAUCCAAAUCCCUCCAGCUCCAGGUUAUUCUUCUGUGUUAGGUUUGGUGACUCGCGUGGACGACUAUGGCUUUGUUUUGGGCUUCAAAGUGGUUAGGUUAGCUGAAAUGCGACCGACGAAUAAUGAUGUCUCCGGUACUUUGAGUGUGUUUUUGUAUUCCUCUGAGACUGGGAUUUGGACUUCUAAGAUAAUUCACUGCCCUUGUCGAAUCACCAACACUGCUUCUUUGACUUUGGAUGGUUCAAUUUACUUUAACCAUCUUAGUGAACCUGGAGUACUCGUAGCUUAUGAUUUCUAUUCUGAAUCCUCCGAUCAAUUUCGGGUUAUACCUCUCCCAGAUCAUCCGAAUCACGGCUUCAAUCACAACUUCAAAGGUGCUUUGACUACGUCCCACGGAAUUUUCAUGUAUAUCAGAACAUUAGCUCAAUCCUCGUCUAAUGUUUUCAAGGCUUGGAGGUUGAACAAUGAUUUAUCCUGGCAACUUUUGUGGAAUAUCGCCCUCCCGCUACUUAUCGGUGAUUAUCUACCUAUGGCAAUGCAUCCAUUUGAUAGUGACACAGUCUAUCUAUGGAGUCAAGAUAAUCGUCAUGUGGUAUCAUGUAACUUGCGGACUCAGAAGAAUAGAAUCCUCGGAGCUGAAGAUAAUGAUGAUGAUCAUCUAGAUUGUUUCUUCAACCAGCCUAUUUGUGAGGAGUGUAUGGAUGAGAUAUGCAGGUAUAAAGUUUCUGUCAGGUUAUUACAAUUGGUGCUCCCACGGUGGAUGGAAUCGGCGCUUUGUCCUCCCCAAGUUGAGAUGAUAGAUACAUCUUCAUUACAUUCUUACGUUAAGUCAAUGCAAGAGACAAGAAGAAGGAAUUGGAACCAAUGAUUUCAUUUUGGUUUUCUGGUUUUCUUUCUCAUCUCUUACGUUAAGUCAAUGCAAGAGACAAGAAGAAGUAAUUGGAAUCAAUGAUUUUUUUUUUUUUUUGCUAAUCAAACACCAUAUAUUAAUUCACGGAAUAAGACUCUCUUCUAGAGAGAGCCAAUCAGGUACCGUCGAACUUACAUGGGAAAAACAGAACCCGCGAUUUCUUGCACAUUUCGCAAGAUAAUCGGCGGAGGUAUUACCACUACGAGGGAUAUGCUUAAGACUGAAAGUAGUAAAACGAUCCCUGUAAUAAGCAAAGUCUGUUAACUCUGUAAAAAAUGUAGGCCACUCUUCAGGAGCACAAGUCAUAGCCAAUAGGUCAGAACAAUCCGUCUGAAUGAUGAUACUUGUCAUUGGGAUCGCCAAUAAACACUUCAUCGUCCAUAAAAGAGUACCCAGUUCAGCAUGUAGGGGAGAAAGACUUCUACGCGAGCCUUUCAAGCCCAAGUGUAGCAGUCGUCCUCCCUGAUAGACAAGCCACCCGUGCCCACUCCUAGUCUCCGUCCCGAUCCAAGAUCCAUCAAUGGAGCAUACCGGUCUAUCCUCUGGAGAUGGUGACUCAUGCGUACUAAGAAUCAACUCGGCCCGAGGGUCUUCUCGCUGAUUUGCUCGUCUCCACGCGCCUUCCUCUUGUGUUGCAAGAUCUAGCGUUUCCUGAGGUGGUACGCUCAAAUUAUCAAAAAUCUUUCGAUUGCGCGCCUUCCAAAUAUACCACAUAAUCCAUGGGAAUACUCUUAGACUCUCUUCAUCCGCACCCGCCUCUUUACCCCGCCAAUACAGAUAAUCUAAGUUAUUGUAGAGUGACGUCGAGGGAAACAGUGCUGGGGGAGAUGGGAUAUUGGAGAGAGCCCAGACUUGUCUAGCAGGAGGACAUUCAAAUAUCAGAUGAUUGAUUGAUUCUUCUUCUGCACCACAUCUUGAACAUCCUUUAUCUCUACCAAUAUGGCGAUAAAAUAGGCGUUGGCUCAAAGCCAAACAACCAGUCACACAUUGCCACACGAAAUGCUUUAAUUUUCGCGUAGUUUUUAAUUUCCAAGCUUGCGCCUUUAGUGUCGUAACACUAGGUCUCUGAGAAGGGUGGUCGCAAACAGGGCGAGAAAGAUUUCUCGCGACCUCGUAUCCAGAUUUGACGGUGUAAUUACCAGACUUUGUCAUUGUCCAACAAUAACCAUCAUUCCAGACAAUACGGCUCGGUUUAAUCCCUAAUAUUAGGGUAAUUUCCUCCGGGGGAAACAAUUCCCGGAGACGAUCCAUCUUCCACUGUUUAGACCCAAAGUCAAUCAAGGUAUUAACGAAAACCAAAGGGUCUCUCUCCACCGAUAAUCCCUUAGGUGGGCGUGCCGGAGUAUCUAGUAUCCAGGGGUCUGUCCAAAUGCAGGUACCGAAGCCCGAGCCAAUGGUCUUGCGGAUUCCAUAUUUAAGAACGUCCUUGGCGGCCAACAUGCUUCUCCAUCCAUACGACGGUCGAUUGGAAACAGUGAUCUCUAGCGGACUAGAAUACCGAAAGUAACGUCCUUUAAGAACCCUACUAAGGAGAGAAUCUGGAAAUCGUAAUAAUCUCCACAAUUGCUUCGCCAAGAGUGCGAGAUUAAAAUCUUCCAAGGACCUAAAUCCUAGCCCUCCUUCAGAUAGUUGGGUACAGAUUUGGUCCCAAGCUAUCCAGUGUAUUCCUCGACUAUCUACUUUAUUACUCCACCAAAAGUUGGCAAUUGCACUGGUAAGUUUGGAACAUAUUGCUUUUGGCAGUAGGAAGCACGACAUUACAUAUGUCGGAAGAGCUUGUGCUUGUGAUUUAAUUAGGACUUCUUUUCCGCCUUUAGAUAGGAAUUUUGACGACCACGAGUUGACUCUAGUUUGUAAUCUGUCUCGCACAAACGCGAAGACCUGAGCUUUUGAUCCAUGUAUUUUUUCAGGAAGGCCUAAAUAUGUUCCCAUCCCGCCUUCUCGUGAAAUCCCAAGAAUCGAUUUGAUUUCUUGCCGUACGGGGGGUGGGACCUCGUUACCAAACAUAAUGGAGGAUUUAUUCAGAUUAACCUCUUGUCCAGAUGCCGCGCCAUAAGAGCGGAUAAUGUCAAUAACUUCUUUACUCUGGUCGGCAUUGGCCUGAUAGAAAAAUAAGCUAUCGUCAGCAAACAGAAGAUGUGAGACACGAGGGCUCGCAUGAGAGAUUCGAAGCCCCUGUAUUUUGCCUUCCCUUUCCGCCUUCCGAAUCUGAGCGAUAAGAGCUUCCGUACACAAGAUAAAUAGGUACGGAGAAAUUGGGUCUCCUUGACGAAUUCCUCGCGAUGGUCGAAUCCGACCUUUUGGGUCGCCAUUAAUCAAAAUCCGAUAUGAAACUGAGGUAAUGCAUUGCAUUAUCCAGUCUAUCCACUGAAUGUUGAAUCCCAUCUUUUCCAUCAAAGCUCGGAGAAACCCCCAUUCCACCCUAUCAUAGGCCUUACUCAUAUCCGUUUUUAGGGCCAUAAACUUCUUCCGAUUUACCGGAUUGGAACGAAGAGCAUGGAAGUUUUCUUGCGCGAUCAAGAUAUUAUCUGUGAUUAAUCUCCCUGCAACGAAUGCAGAUUGCGUCUCGGAUAUUAAAUCCGGAAGAAAUCUCUUUAGUCGUAGGCUUAGGAUUUUCGAAAUGACCUUAUAACUUACAUUACAUAAGCUAAUAGGACGAAAACCUGACAUUUCUCGCGGUCUUUCCCCUUUAGGGAUAAAACAAAUAUUGGUCUCAUUCAGCUUCCCGUCAAAAAUUCCGGAGCUAAAGAAAUUCUUCACCAUAAUGGUGAGAUCGCCUUUUAUGAUUUCCCAAAACCGCUGGAAAAAAAGAGCAGUCAUCCCAUCCGGACCUGGGGCUUUAGUCGGCUUCAAAGAGAAUAAAGCUCUCUUGACUUCUUCUUCAGUGACUUCUUUGACUAAGAACUCAUUCAUAGCUGGGGUGACCGAUGGUGAGAUGUCUCUAAGAGCGGAUACUGGGUCCACCGGGUUCGAUGAAGUAAAUAGGUUUUCAAAAUAAUCUACCGCGACUCUUUCAAUGCCAUCUUCAUUAUCCACCCACGUCCCAUUAUCAUCUAGAAUGCCUAAAAUCUUGUUCUUCGCCCUUCAUUGUUUUGUCAAAGCGUGAAAAUAUUUUGUGUUUUUAUCACCAAGCGCUAGCCAGUUUUGGCGACUCUUUUGGUACCAAAAUAUUUCCUCCUCUGUAUAAGCAUCGCCCAAUUGCUUUUUGAGCUCCCGAAGUUCAUCCAAAGAUGCGUUAUCAUCCGCAUAAUUUUCCUCAAUUUUAUCAUGGAGUUCCUUGAUAAGUAUCUCAGAAUUAGUUUGUGUUGAUUUCUUCCAGAUGGAGAUAACCCGUUUACAGUUCUGGAUUUUUUUCAUUAUGGGUCGGUCUACCCGACCACCAGCUCCGUUCCACCCUUCCAACACUGCUUCGUUGAGCCCGGGUUUUCCAAUCCAUCUUUUGUCAAACAAGAAUUUUCUCGAGAUUUUUCUCGGACUUGAUUGUAUAAAUGCAAGGAGUGGUCUAUGAUCCGACCCCCACAUCUUUAAGUACUCCACAUUAGUGUGGGAAAAAAUAUUAUGCCAUUCUUCAUUUCCCAUGGCUCUGUCUAACCGACAUCUAAUCUUACCAUUUGACCGUUGUCCAAUCCAGGAGAAUUGAUUUCCCUGAAAAGGAAAAUCAAUAAGUCCACACAUAUGGAUCAUAGCCCGGAAUGGUAGGAAGGAGGCUUCAGAACGUUUUUUUCCUCCUCUUUUCUCAUGGUUUCCUGUUAUCUCAUUAAAAUCUCCAAUAAUAAACCAUGCCUCGGAUCUAGAUAUACCAAUUCGAGUCAAUCUCUCCCACACGUACUCGCGAUUUGGGACAACAGGAUCACCAUAGAUAAAAGUCAUAAAAACUCGAUUACCGUUAAUGAUAGUUUCGAUGUCAAUCAAUCGAUCAUCUAACAACAAAAACUUAACCGGAUAUUCCUUAGAAUAAAAUAAAGCUAAGCCUCCACUAGUACCAUCAGGUUCAACAGUUUGGAGAUUGUCAAAUCCUAGAUCAACUUGCAAAGUUUGCAGAUACAUUUUGUCAUUCUUGGUCUCUGAUAAGAACAUGAAAUCUGGAGAAUACAUACGACACAACUCUACCAGUCGACGAGAAGUCUCUUUCGCUUUCGCCCCUUGACAAUUCCACGCUAAGGUCCUCAUAUAUUAGUUCCGGAGGGAGAAUGAAACCCCACCGUACUAAUGUUGAAUCGAACGAUCUUGAGUGUGAAGAAUAGAUACUCCUCGUUACAAGAAAGGAAAACUGAAUUUCGAAAGAUUUUCAUAUUUGGCGAAAUCCAAUUGUUGUUUUGACAUUUAUGUGUCAAUGAUCGCUCAUAAUAAGAGGAUAUUGAUGUGCACCAUAGCUCCAACAAAAUUAUGCAUAACACACAAGAUAAUUGUAUGAGUAAACAUUCCCUAAAGGAAGAUUGUUGAAAUAAACUCUCUUUAAAAGAGGAAGGUAGUCCAAUUAGACUCAUGAAGUUGGGUUUUGAAAACAAGAAAUGGUUUCCAUAAUCCCACGAAACAUAUCUUGCAACAUAGGCCCACCAAGAAGAUUCUGCAACAGAGGCCAAUGAAGCAGAUUCAUCAUCAGAGGCCCAACAAGCUUCCAAUCUGAGUGGUGGUGAUGGAGCUUGAAGUCGUCGGAUGUUUGGUUUGGUAGAUAUGCCGGCGAAGACAUUGGAGAAGAUGAGCAAAGCCCAUGAAUGGAUUAGGGUUAAACAGAUUGGGGCACAAUACGGGCAUAUUGGGACGACGGCGAUAAGGACAUCGGGGAACGUCUCUGCGCCGGCAAAGCUUAUCCCGGCAGCAGGAAAAGAGCAAUUCAGGCGAGUCACUAGAAGCCUAGUAGAGGUGGAGGAAAAUCUGGUAAUCUCUAGGUCAAAGGUGAUGGAGGUACGGACAUAAACAUAGAUAGUGGUGAAGAUUGAUGAGCAAAAUAUCUCCAAAACGGAGUAGUUCAUCAUCGAGUUCAGAUCUGGUAAUAGCGAAAGGGGAUGGAGGCGCUUUAGCUGCUCCGACCUAACGGGGACUUCUGAGAGAGUAAUUGAUAUCAUUGGAGACUUUAAUCGCCUAGAUUUCUUCACAUAUGUGAGAAUGGAUAACUGAACAAUUCGCCGGAAACAACAAGGCCAUCGGUGAUGACUUUGCUUUGUCGAGGUUGGGGACAUCCGGAGAAACCCAAAAGAAUGGAGAAAGAACGAGAAUGUUUCAGAUCUGGAUUUUAAAAGAGAGAAGCCACCUGAGGAUGAAAAUGAGAGCCAAGGAAAACACACAUGAGCACCUCCAAGCUCAUAUUCGCCUAACAUACUUAGCAAGAAGCUAGAUCCGGUUCGUUUCCAUGUCUGAAAAAAGGUACAGUGGUAGGACGGUGAUGUGGCGGUGGUGAGAACGGCAAAGGGAUAUUGUGAGCUGUGUAGAAGCAUCAGAUCUGGAAGAACAGUGGUGACCCACUUCGUUUCUCAAGUGAGAACGUCUACGAAAAUGAAGAACACUUAGCAUAGAGCUAGAAUCUUAAUUGGAAUCAAUGAUUUCAUUUUGGUUUUUCUGUUUUUUUCUUUUCUUGUCUUUUGGUACUAUCUAUAUAAUGGAAGACAACCAUAUCCAUAUCAACCAAUAUUUGCUUCUUCUUAUUUAUCUUUCAGUUCAAUGACAUGUUACCAUUUCAUCUUUCUAACUUGUUACACAAAUUGUCACUUCCUUUGAACAAAAGUUCUUUCAAUUGAUGUUUCAUUCCAGCCGCGCGUAGCUUCUUAAAGAUAGGUUCUUCGAUAGCUUCACUUCUGAGAACAUAACCUUGAGGAGUAAAUCGAAGCGUUAUCUGUUUGUUCGAUGUGAUUCAACAAAUGAAACACUUAAUAAAAGGAGACUUGAUGGAACAUGAAUCAAGAGCUUGUAAUGGAGCUGCACUUAAACCUUGAAGUUGAAGCAAGUAGAAGAAAGAAAAACCAAAAGGGAUUUUGAAACCAAUCUAACGGGUUGGUUUCCCGCAUGUUAGUCUUAGUUUCAAGUACCAUAUAGCAGCAACUAGAUAUAGCUUAAUUGAUGUUAUAACUGGUUGUAGACCAAAUCUAGUUUAUGUCAUUAGCAUUUAGCUUAAGCAAGCUAAACGACGUCGUACGUUGCGUAUUCCCAUUAUUGAAAUGUGUUAGUUAGUGCCCGCUUCAAAAAUUCGUAAUCACAAACACAAGUAAGACUUGGUAGCCUCUUACACAAAAUUAAUAGUACUAUUUUAAAACAAAGAAAUCAAUAAAAAAUAUAAAAGCAAAAAAGUUUGAUCGAUGAAACGAAUACCGUUGGAUCAAACCAUCGAAUUAUAAAAACUAGAUCACGAGAAUAAUAAAAAGAAAAAAAGAAAAAAGCAGAAAAUUCAUAAAAGAAAGAAAAAUUCAUACUUCCAAAGGAAAGGAAAAAAUCUCAAGUCAACAAACAACAACGAAGGUCUGAAGAACUUUGAAUGUUGUUAUCAUAAUCAUCAUAAUAAUCAUAAUCAUCAUCAUCAUCGUUGUUUUCGUGUCUGGGUAAUUUCUCCUGUUGACCUUCUAAUUCUGUCAUCUCCGAUUAUUGAUUUUCUUUUGUACCGAAGCCCUUUUGUCUCUUGUCUGAAAUCAAUCUGAAAAAAAGGUUCUGUUUUUUGGGAAAUGUGAAGCUUUUUGUUCUCUGAUUGUUUCAUUUUCCGAUUGUUUCAGAAGAACUGGAAUCGCCGAAAGUUGGGAUUUUUUUGGUUAGAUUGUAUAAAAAGGGCGUGAUUAAGGAAGAAGCAGAAGAUAAAAAGGGGAUUUUUUGGUUGUUGUAAUCUGGGAAAGUUUGGGACUUUCUAUCGAUCUCAGGUUUGUGAUUUGAUUAUGUUUUUAGAUAUAUUAGGCUGAUCUAGGAUUUGAUGGAUUUUGCUUUUUUCUCAGAUGGUGAAAAGACCAAGUCUCAGUUUGAAAACUUGAUGGAUUUUGUUCUUCUAGGAACUUGAAUUCUGGUGUUGAGAAUAAGAAAACUAUGUGGAAACAGAUUCUAAGUAAGCUUCCCAACAAAAAGUCUUCUAAGCACGAACAUCGUGGACGUGAACACGGUGGUCAUUCUUCUUCAUCUUCUCAUACUUCUGGUGCCUCUACUUCGAAAAACAGUGAUAAUGGUACCGGGAAAUCAGGGAAUUCGCAUGCUAAGAACGCUUCAGCAGGUGGAAAAUCCGCUGCUUCUGACUCGGGUUAUAAAGAUGGGAAUCUAAAGAGUAGUGGGAGCAACAGCAACAACAGCAACAACAGCAACAACAACGGAGUCUUUACUCCUUAUGAAGCAUUGCCGAGUUUUAAAGAUGUUCCAAACACGGAAAAGCAAAACUUGUUCAUAAAAAAGUUGAACUUGUGCCGUGUAGUGUUUGAUUUCACAGAUCCUACGAAGAAUAUCAAGGAAAAAGAGAUUAAGAGGCAGACAUUACUGGAGCUUGUGGACUAUGUGAAUUCUCCUAAUGGAAAGUUUAGCGAAGUGGGUAUCCAAGAAGUCAUUCGAAUGGUCUCUGCUAACAUAUUUAGAACGCUAAAUCCUCAACCACGGGAAAAUAAAGUUAUUGAUGCCUUAGACCUGGAGGAGGAAGAACCUUCCAUGGAUCUUGCAUGGCCUCACUUGCAGCUUGUGUAUGAGCUUUUCUUGAGGUUUGUUGCUUCGCCUGAAACUGACACCAAGUUGGCGAAGAGAUAUAUAGAUCAAUCUUUUGUCUUGCGGUUACUCGAUUUAUUUGAUUCCGAGGAUCCUAGAGAAAGAGAUUGUCUGAAAACCAUUCUCCAUCGGAUCUAUGGUAAAUUUAUGGUACACCGACCUUUCAUCAGGAAAUCCAUAAACAACAUCUUCUAUAGGUUUGUUUUCGAAACAGAGAAACAUAACGGGAUUGCUGAGUUUCUUGAAAUCUUGGGUAGUAUCAUCAAUGGAUUUGCUCUUCCCUUGAAAGACGAGCACAAAGUGUUUCUUGUCCGAGUUUUGAUACCUCUCCACAAACCAAAAUGUUUGCAAAUGUAUCAGCAACAAUUGUCUUAUUGUAUCACACAGUUUGUGGAAAAGGAUUGCAAACUUGCUGAUACAGUUAUAAGAGGAUUGUUGAAAUAUUGGCCAGUGACAAAUAGUUCCAAAGAAGUCAUGUUUCUGAAUGAGUUGGAGGAAGUACUCGAAGCAACUCAGCCACCAGAAUUCCAACGGUGCAUGGUACCACUGUUUCGCCAAAUAGCCCGAUGUUUGAACAGUCUGCAUUUUCAGGUACCUGUCAUUCUCCAUUCUUUCUGAAAUAAUAGCACCUCACAUUUGUUUCUAAACUGGCAAAUGUCCCGGUGCUUUGAUGUUUUCUGAAAACUGCUCUGUUACUGUUAGUGUUGGGUUUGACAUUAUCUAGGCCAUAUCGUGUUGACAUACUUUAACUGUAUUAGUGUUUCGCCUGUGUAUAUAUGUUACAUUACCAGCUUAUGAGAAGUCGUUAUAGCCUACCAGUUAUAUCAAAUGAGCAAAUUGAAGAGUUGAUUUUUGCGGUAUGCAGGGUAUCAAUGUUUAGGACUGUUGUAUUCAGCUCUAGAUGAUACUUAAGGCAAUUUCUAAGCAACAUUGAUAUAUUAAGGAUAUUGUUCAGUAGAAAGUUACAAAAAAGGAAAAAAGUAUCGCAUUGAAAGGUAUCUGUUUUGGCUAAACAGUGACUGCAUAUGAUCUUUUAGAGGGAAACGUUUGUUCAUGUCAUAUAACUCUAGUAGGUUCAGGAUCUAGUGCAUUGUGACUAAAGCUUAAAUCUUUGAUUCAGUCUAUUAAACGUAUCUGUUGGGUUAUCAGGUUGCAGAGAGAGCUUUAUUCUUAUGGAAUAACAAUCACAUUGAGAAUCUGAUAAUGCAGAACCGUAAAGUCAUUCUUCCAAUUAUAUUCCCUGCAUUGGAGAGAAAUGCACAGAAACAUUGGAACCAAGCUGUUCAUAGCUUGACACUAAACGUGCGAAAGAUAUUUCAUGACCUUGACCCUGAGUUGUUCAAAGAAUGCCUUGCUAAGUUCAAGGAAGAUGAAUCAAAUGCAGCUGAAACCGAAGCAAAACGUGAAGCCACUUGGAAACGAUUGGAAGAACUCGGUGUGCGAAAGGCUUCAUAAAGUUAGAGCUAUAGACAAGAGGGAAAGAGAGCUUCUGUGUCUUCUAUCGGAAUUGGCAUGUUCUUCAGAUACAUACUUGAGAAGAGAAAAGUUUCAUAUUGGUCUCUUCGUUUGUACGAAAGGAAACUCAAAGAUGUAAGAUUGUUCCCGUUUUGAUUUCCAUUAUUUUUAUUUCUUGUUAAUGGGUUAUUUUUGCUACAUUGUAUGAUGAUCUCUUGUUCCACUUUCUUGAGACUUGUCUGAUUCAUUUCAUCUUCUGCUUUGAUGAUACCUGCAAAAAUUGCAGCUAUAUGAUUUGCCUCUCUAAAGAAUCAGUUUGUUGGUUGUUUGUAUUAAAUGUGCUUCCUUUUGGAUUUUCAUUUGUAUAAUUUCUUCCAAAUCAGGAAAAAAAUCGAAUCUUUAUUAAGAAAAAAACCACUUUUUUGUUACGAACUCAAGAGAGAAAUCUUAGACCAAACCAAAUUGUUGGUUUCAGUUUUUUGAGUUUGUGGGUUCGGUUACGAACUCCACAAGUCUAGGAGGAACUCUCAAAAGAUCUUCAUUGAGAGAUUGGUUUAGUGGUUGGAUUUGAAAUUUUUUUUUGUUGAUCCAUUGGUUAUGACUUGAACUGAAAACACUGUCGAGAUGUUUUCUCUUGUCCUGGUCAGUGAAAAUUUUCUCUGGUCUUAGGGUCUUCUCUCAGUCACCAUCCUCUCUUUCUCUCUCUUUACUCUCUAAUCUUUAUCCAUUCUCUCUCUUCUCUCUAAUCUGUAUUGCCAACGAAGCAAUAGCUAUGAAAAGCUAAACCCUUUCUUCUUCUUCUUCUUCUUCUUCUUCUUCAAUUGUUUAGAUCACUUGGGUCAAACCCAAGUCUUCUUCUUUCUAUGAUUCAUCAAUCUAGAUCUUCCUAUCUGGGUCCAGAAACGAUUCACGCGCUUCGUUCAUGAUAUAAAGUUACUACCUUUUUCUUGCUUCUGGGUCAUGGUUCUGUCUGCUUUUCGUCUUUUGCUUUUGUCUGGAUGAUUCAUUAAUCUCUGAGAUCUAGUAUGUUCACAAGAGUUGUUCUUAUGCGUGGUGAGAUGAUCUUAGGAGUAGUUCAGCAUCUUUCUUCAAUUCGGAUUUUGAGUUUCUGAGAUCUGUUUUUUUUGCUUAAAGAAUCCGAUCUGAGUUUGAGGAAGUUGACCAAUAUAGAUCGAAGAUGUUUAAGCAGAUACUUGGGAAGCUUCCUAAGAAAACUUCUGCUAAGUUUUGGGAUAAUGGUGAAUCCCAAACUCCAGAUAACAACAAUCAAGGAGGUGAUGAAGUUUUAAGCCAGAGAUCAUCGUCAAAUGGAGAUACUUUGGAUUGUGUUUCUUUUGAUGUAUUGCCAAGGUUGAGAGAUGUUUCCAUCUCUGAGAAGCAAGAACUGUUUCUUAAGAAGCUUAGACUAUGUUGUGUUGUGUUUGAUUUCGUCGCCGAGCCUCAACAGAACUUCAAGGAGAAAGAGAUCAAAAGGCAGACGCUUCUUGAAGUUGUGGAUUAUGUUAUCUCUUCAGGGAAUGGGAAGUUCCCUGAAUCAGUUAUUCAAGAAGCUACGAAGAUGAUUUCGGCGAAUCUCUUUAGUGAUCCUCAUCGACAAUGGAAGAACAAAACUUCAGAAGCAUUGGAUUUGGAAGAAGAAGAAGGAUCUUUGAAUCCUUCUUGGCCUCACUUGCAGAUUGUUUAUGAGUUCCUUCUAAGAAUCGUUGCGUCUCCCAACACUGACCCCAAGAUAUCCAAGAAAUACAUCGAUCAUACAUUCGUUCUCAAGCUAUUGGAUUUGUUUGAUUCUGAAGAUCCGAGGGAAAGAGAGUAUCUGAAAACGAUACUUCACCGGAUCUACGGGAGGUUUAUGGUUCAUCGCCCGUUCAUCAGGAAAACUAUGAACAACAUCUUGUAUGAUUUUAUAUUCGAGACCGGGAAACACUCAGGAAUCGCCGAGUUUCUUGAAGUGUUAGGAUCCAUCAUCAAUGGAUUUGCUUUACCACUCAAGGAAGAACACAAGCUCUUCCUUACUCGUGUCUUGAUUCCUCUACACAAACUGAAAUGCUUACCAAAUUACCAUCAGCAGCUUUCUUAUUGCGUUAUACAGUUCGUUGAGAAAGAUUGUAAGCUUGCGGAUACCGUAAUUAGAGGGAUGUUGAAGUACUGGCCUGUUACUAAUAGCUCUAAAGAAAUAAUGUUCUUGAAUGAACUGGAGGAGAUAUUAGAAGCAACUCAAUUAACAGAGUUUGAACGGUGUAUGAUUCCGCUCUCUCGCCAAAUUGCUCAGUGCUUAAGCAGUUCUCACUUUCAGGUAAAGUUAAGAGUUUAUUUGGUACACUUACCUGAUUGUUAGAUUCUUGAAUUGUUCAUAAAAAAUCAACUGCUUGUGUGAUUAGGUAGCAGAACGGGCAUUAUACUUAUGGAACAACGAUCAUGUCACUAAUUUGGUGAGACAGAACAGUAGAAUCAUUUUACCGAUAGUGUUUCCCGCUUUGGAGAAAAAUGGUAGCAGCCAUUGGAAUCAGGCUGUGAAGAAUUUGACCGAGAAUGUUCUCAAGGUUUUGUCGGAUACAAAUCCAGAUUUAUUCGAAGAAUGUUUGCGCAAGUUCCAAGAAGAUCAGCAAAAAGCAGAAGAUACUAAAAAGAAGAAUGGAGAAACCUGGAAACAGCUAGAGGAGAUUGUUGCUUCAAAGGGACACACAUCAAUGGCGAAGUAAGAGUUUUUCUGCACUUUACGCGAUGCAACAAGAAUCGGUUUAUUGUUUUGUUUUCUUUACGCCUGAAAGGUAUAUACAUUUACUUUGCUUUGAUUGCUUCAAGUCUCUGGUUUCGACUUCAAGACUAGUUUAAUUCAGUUAAACAGUGUGAGAUUUUAGCCAAAUGUUGUUGUCCUCUUUCAGUUCUUGAUUUGUCUGUAUACUUCGUUCAUGUAAACAUCUUGUUAUGAAAACACAAAUUUUCUAUUGUUUGAAGUCACUUAGUUUAUAGGUGAAAGAGAUGGCUCUAAUAUUAAAAUUUGAUUCUGGAAUAAUGGUUUUGUCAUUUAGUAUACAGAGGAUCUAUUGGCAUUUUCCUGCAAGAAUAUUUGGGUUUUGUCUGUUAAAAGGUUCUGUUACUCCAGGUAUAUUCUUCUAACCAAGAAACCGAAGAAAAGCUCUCUGCGAUGACUCUUGGUCGGUUUUUUGUCAGGAGGUUUCAUCAGAUGAGAGUUGAUGUUAUCUCCAGAGAUAUCAUCAAACCGUCAUCUCCAACUCCAAACCACUUAAAGAAGUUUCAACUCUCUCUUUUAGAACAGCUCGGUCCAACGAUCUUUGGUCCUAUGGUUUUCUUCUAUUCAGGUAACAACAGAAUCAAACCAGCUGAGCAAUUGCAGAAGCUGAAGAAGUCGUUAUCUGAAACUUUAACCCAUUUCUACCCUCUCGCUGGACGGCUCAAAGGCAACAUAAGUAUCGAUUGUAAUGACUCCGGCGCUGAUUUCCUCGAAGCAGAAGUCAAUUCCCCGCUUUCGAGUCUCCUACAAGAGCCUUCUUCGGACAGCUUGCAACAACUGAUUCCUACAUCAGUUGAUUCCAUAGAGACAAGAACCAGACUGUUUCUUGCUCAAGCUAGUUUCUUUGAAUGUGGAAGCAUGGCUAUAGGAGUUUGUAUCUCUCAUAAACUCGCUGACGCAACUUCUAUCGGUUUAUUCAUGAAGAGCUGGGCUGCAAUCUCGUCCCAAGGAUCAAUCAAAACCGUUGGGUUUCCAGUGUUUGACACGGCCAAGAUCUUCCCACCUGGAAACUUCUCUGAGACUUCCCCUGCACCAGUGGUUGAGCCAGAGAUCAUGAUGAAUCAGACUCUUUCGAAGAGAUUUGUAUUCGAUUCUUCGAGCAUUCAAGCCCUGCAAGCAAAAGCUUCAAGCUUUGAAGUGAAUCAACCUACAAGAGUCGAAGCUGUUUCAGCUCUUAUAUGGAAAACUGCAAUGAAAGCUACAAGAACAGUUUCAGGAACAUCGAAACCGUCGAUUCUGGCUAACUCCGCGAGUCUACGCUCACGCGUCUCUCCACCAUUCACAAAGAACUCAAUCGGGAAUCUAGUGAGCUACUUUGCAGCAAAAGCAGAGGAAGGAACAAACCAAACAAAGCUUCAAACUUUGGUUUCGAAAAUACGAAAAGCGAAACAGUGGUUUCGCGAUAACCAUAUACCAAAGCUUGUAGGAAACCCAAAUGCUACAGAGAUCAUUUGUAGCUACCAGAAAGAAGCAGGAGAUAUGAUUGCAAGUGGAGAUUUCGAUUUCUACAUCUUCUCGAGUGCUUGUCGGUUCGGUUUAUACGAUACCGAUUUCGGUUGGGGAAAACCGGUUUGGGUCGGGAUUCCUACGGUUAGACAGAAGAACAUCGUGACGCUUCUCGACACGAAAGAAGCUGGUGGAAUCGAAGCUUGGGUGAAUCUAUAUGAACAAGAGAUGAAUCUUUUUGAACAAGAUAGAGAAUUGCUCCAAUUUGCUUCUCUGAAUCCUAGUGUGAUCCAACCUUUUCUCCAUGUUCUUUGAUUCUAAGUCCGGUUUAAUGAGCUAAACCGGAUAUAUUUGUUGAAAUUGGUUCGAUUUUGACUAGCCGUUAGGAGGCCACUAAAAACGUUAAAAUUCAAAUAACGGGCAAAAUUUGGUGAUGUAAUAAAUAGUCCUGAAGAAUCACUUUUUUUAUGAUAUAUAAUAAUAAAUUCAGAAGUCAUUUUAAAGCAAUUUCAUGUUAAAAUUAAAAACAAGUUUUUGUCAUAUUUUUUUCAUAAAGACACUUUCAAAACUUUUAUUACUUUCUACAAUUAUUAAUUUAGCACUAAAAAUAAAGUUAAACUUGAACCACACUCUCAGAACUUAAUACUAAAAGUUAAAUAUUAGUGUUUAUUAUUAAGUAAUAGACAACAAGAAUUACCAAAAUGAUAAUUGAUAGCUAAUAAAAAUCAUCCACAUGAAAAGGCUAAAUAUAGUUCAAAAUAAAAUAAAAUAAACAUUCUAUAAAAUGUGAAACAUAAUAUAUUUUCAUUAUUUUAUUUCUUGUUUAGCACUUGUAAACACUAGUGUAUAUAAUAAUUAUAUUAUUCCAAAUUUAGAUAAAACGUUUUCUAUAAAUGACGUAAUAAAAUAAGGAAGUGGCCGUUGGGGAAAUUUAAAUCAUAUGCUUAGAGUUCGGACCUACUUUCAGAUUUGCAGCCGAAGAAGCUUUAAGAUUUUUUAGUUUUCAGUUUCUCAGCGAAACCACCAGAUUUGGGGAUAAAAUUAGGGUUUUUGGAUCUCCAGAACAAAAAAGAAUGGGAGAAUCAAUUUGCUUUGUGAGAUCUUUCUCGCAAGCUGCAGAGUUUUCAUCGCAUCAAAUCAACAACGAGGUUAGUGCUUCAGAUUUGUGAAUCUACUUCGAUUUCGUGGAUUCAAGAUACAAUCUUGGAUUUAGGGUUUUGAUUCUAGAAAUUGAUUUCGUGUAGAGUGUUGAGAUUUGAGAUUUGGUUUUGCAGGUGGUUCCUAAUCGUGUGCUUACGGAAUCGGUAUCGUUUGGUAGAUUUGCGAAUGAAACACUAGCGUGGGAGAGAUGGUCAGCUUUUACUCAGAAUCGUUACUUGGAAGAGGUUGAGAGGUUUACUAAACCUGGUUCUGUGGCUCAGAAGAAAGCUUUCUUUGAAGCUCAUUUCAAGAACAGAGCUUCCGGGAGAGUAACGGAGCCGAAAAAGAUCGAAGAAGUUGAAACCGGUGAUGAGAUUGUAUGUGAGAUACCAAAGGAUAUUCUCGUUGAUUCAGAAGUAACACUAGUGGUGUCUAACGGUGAGGUGGAUGAAACAACUGAUGUGAAAACUGGUGAAGUGGAGAACUUGAAGUCAGUGGUUGUUCUUGAAGACAAUGGUCUUGAUGAGGUAAUGCAUCAAAUUCAUUUUUUGUUAGAUUGGAAUUUGAUGUUUUGUUCUAUUCUCUCAACGUCCAUGGUGUUUUCAGGAGAAUUCUACUUCUUUGAGCAAAGAAAGACCUCCUAGUUCUUCUGAAUCGAAGGUCUCAAGUUCAAAACUGGAACCUUCCGUUGUUAUAGAACUGGAUCAUUCACUUAACAACACUAGAAAAGAGUCAUCCUUGAGUAGUACAAGGUCACUUAGUGUAUCGAAGAACCGAAGUAGAUCACCUCCUGAAUCCGUUCAAAUGUCAAUCAGCUGUGCUCCUUCUGGUAGUACCGACAAAAAAAUUGUCAGGAUGCCCCAAAACGGUGCUAAGAGUGCAGUGAAAGCAGACAAGAAGAAGAGAUCAUGUCCAAGUUCAGUUCACAUGUCACUCAAUUUUGCUUCUUCUGCUCGUCAUACGACCAAAGCAGCCUCGAAAACCUUGGUAAGAAACUCCACUACACAGGAAACAACUUCAUCAAAUGCUAGAAACAAAGUUUUCCCAAAGACAAACGAACCAACGGGAGCUUCAAAAAGCCGCAAGAGACCAUUGUCUCAAACAUCCAAAGAAGGUUCUAAAGCUGCAAAAUGUUCAACCAGUGUAAUUCUCUUCUCAAGUUUCUCUCAUUGCGUAUAUCGCAUAUUUGCUGAGACUGACUCUUACAUAUAUUGCAGGCCUCUGCUGUCACGAUACCCGAACUUCCUCCUCUCAGUAAGCAGCUAUCAGAAAACAAAAGGUUACUGAUCCAACCAUCUUCAAUACAAUUUAUCGCUUUAGGCUAUUACUUACUAACUUGGCUUCUUCUUAUAUACAGGAAAAACAUAACUGUAGGGAGAUUAAUUUCAUGCAGAAUACCCAACAAUGUGCAAAAACAACCCCCUGUCGGGUAAGCGGUUUAAGUAACAACCUCUUAGAGAAACACUUACUAUCUUAUGUUACUUACUGCAAUGGCCUGAGUCGGUUAAUUGAAAGUGUUUGUGUUAGUUCCCUGAUUUAUGCCGAAUUAACGAGAUUUUUUUGUCUAAUGCAUUUGCAGCUGUGAAAAUCUUUCAACUCAUAGCAGAAGCAAAGCAAAGUCUUUGACUGUAUCUUCUCCCUUCAUCUUCAGAAGUGAUGAAAGAGCAGAGAAGAGGAAAGAGGUAGAACUAAAGAAUACCCCCUUAAUUUAUCUUUCAGAUCAGAGGACUUAUAGAGCCAUAGUUAAUGAAGUGUUGUGGCUGUGUCUUCUUGUCUGUUAGUUCUUCAAGAAGGUAGAAGAAAAGAACAAGAAAGAGGAAACUGGAAAAGAUAAAUUUUCUUGCGGCUUCAAGGCAAAUCAAAACACUCACUUAGCAUCUGAAGAACACAAGAAGAACCCACAAGUUGGUGGUUUUCAGGUAUAGUAAAGAUCUAACUAUCAGACUGUAACUUCUCACAAAUUUGGGUAUUGAAUCUUGAUGUAUGAUGACAUCAUAAUCAUGUGCAGGUACCACCGAUAACCAUGACUUCACCAAGAUUCCGCAGGAACCAAACUCCAGGAAAAAAGAACAUAAAAACUCCCCAUAAAGCUUCCUCAAUGAAGAUCAUAAACACCAAAAAAGUAGUCAUGGAGAAACAAAAAAGCAGCAAGAUUCAUCCCUCCUCCAAACCACAGACACCAAAAAAAACUCAAGAAAAUAUGUCUCCUAAUAUUCUACAGAACUAAGGUACAUACAUCAGAGACAAACCCGAUCAAUCAUUCCUCUUCUUCAAACCUCUAGUUCAUCGUAAAGAUUCGGCUUUUCGCGUUGAAGCUUCCGAAAGUUUUGUCCUUUCAGCUCGUAAUCUCAUCUCAAGCUUAUGGUAUAGGUAACUAGCCCUUAAUUGAACCACAAGCUUUUAAGGAGCUGUGUAGAAUAGAUAGAACUCUCAAGUCUUCAUACAACUAUGUACUCAAUAGUUCUGUUGUCUCAAUCUUGUAUCAUUUGUCUACAUAGAGAUAUGAAAUAAAGAACACAUUUCAAGGUCUAGUUUUCAAUUCUAAUGGUGCUUUUUCAUUGUUUUCUUUCUUGAUUUAGUAUAUAGACAGAGGAAGAAAUACAAGAAACAUUUGUUUUAAAACGACAUCGUAAUGUGUGAUGUUGUGUUGUUGUGGUGUGGGCCUCUCAUUUCAGAGGUGAGAGAAAAAAUCUUAUCUCUGUGGACUGUGAUUGUGUGAUGUUGUUUCCCUAUCUUCAUCUUCUUCUACUCCAUGCUCUAACCACGUCCUUGUAGAGGAAAAGAAAAAAAAUGGCUGCUUCAUCUUCCUCUUUCACUCUCUGUAAUCACACCACACUUCACACUCUCCCUCAGAGAAAGACCCUUGUCACCAAAACCCAUUUUUCUGUUCCCACAAAAUCAUCAGAAUCUAAUUUCUUUGGCUCCAGACUCACUCACUCGUCGUAUCUCUCCCCAGUCUCUUCCUCUUCUCUCAAAAGCUUAAUCUUUGCCAAGGUACAUUUCACGAAUCUUGCAUUGAUAGAUUGUUUGCUACAAUUGGGUAACAACUAGUUCUGGGAAUUAGCUUCUUUGUUAGACCAAUGUUGUUUGGACAAUUUUAGUUGUGUUCCUAGACAACUUCUGUAGUAAUCUCUGCCAACUUUUUCUUAUAUGUUUUUGCCUUCGAUCCCAAGAUAUACAUGGAAAAAUUGAGUAUUUUGGGUCUGAAUUUGAAUGUUAUGAUGAUAGAUUCAUGAAUGUGUUAGUGCAGAACCAAAGACAAAAUCAAAGAAAAUUGCAAUCAGUGUUUGUUUUAGAGACCAUAAACUUUCACAUACCUCAAAGAAAAUGCUAGAAUGCUCUUGAAAUAUUCAAUCCUCUAUUAGAUUAUCUCUGAACUCUCUUUAACCUUCUUUGAAUUGUUCUUUUUUGUGAUGCUUUGUGGGCAGCAGGUUAACAAGGGUCAGGCUGCACCAGACUUCACACUCAAGGAUCAGAACGGAAAGCCGGUGAGCCUCAAGAAGUAUAAAGGGAAGCCUGUUGUUCUCUACUUCUACCCUGCAGAUGAAAGCCCUGGCUGCACCAAACAGGUCUUUCAUUUUUACUCUCUUCUCUUUUCUGCAUUCAUCGCGCGUAUUUAGUGUUGUUAAACGUAAAUGGUUUUAUUUUUAUACGACAGGCUUGUGCUUUCAGAGACUCUUAUGAGAAAUUCAAGAAAGCCGGUGCAGAGGUCAUUGGGAUUAGUGGUGAUGACUCUGCUUCUCACAAGGUACACACAUCAUAAGCUGAUUUCUGAAUAAAAAACCGAUGUUGUUUUACGGGUUUUAAAGAGGGUUUGGGACUUCAAACAUUGUUGCAGGCGUUUGCAAGCAAAUACAAGCUGCCGUAUACAUUGUUAAGCGACGAAGGGAAUAAGGUGAGAAAAGAUUGGGGAGUACCAGGAGACUUGUUUGGGGCAUUGCCAGGGAGACAAACUUACGUCCUUGACAAAAACGGUGUUGUUCAGCUCAUCUACAACAACCAGUUCCAGCCUGAGAAACACAUUGACGAGACCUUGAAGUUUCUUAAAGCUGCUUGAUCAUUCUCUCUUUCUCUUUCUUCGUCCUUAAUGCAUGUCUCAUGUCUGGCUCCAUGACCUUCCCAUACUGUUUCUGUUGAUUAUGAAUUUUCAAUAAUACCAUGCUAUACUAAUGAGAAGUGAGUUGGCUUUGGUCUGGUAAAAAGAUCACAACGGGAUAAGUAUUGAAGAGUGGUUAAAAUGUUGGUCAGAGUUGGAUUGGCAAAGAAUGUUGUUUCAUUUAUAUGGCUUGAAUGUUUGCUCACUUCAAAAUCUUGCUCACCAUUGACGUUGAAGAAAGAAGCUUUUGAAAGAAAAAAUGAAGACAAGAAAGAGGCAAAAGCUUUGAAGACAACUAAUUCGGUAAACAAAGAAUCUCAACCUUGUGAAUGUUGAGAUCAUCUUUUUUACGGAACAUCAUUAACAGUUUAUCUUCUUGAACCUCUAUAUCAUCGUAAAGAUUGGGCUUUUCACGUUGAAGAUUUCGAAAGUUUUGCUCUCUCAGCUUGUUAUCUCAUCAAGCUUAUGAUAUAGGUAACUCGAGCCCUUGAUUAGAAUUGUAAAACACAAAGCUUUCUUGAUUUUAACUAUAGAGAUUGGAACUCACGUCUCAACCUUGUAUCAUUUGUAUAUACAUUGGAACUAUGUAAAACAUCAAAACAAUUCGGCCUCUAAUAUUUGAAAUUUAAAACGGUUAUUUCUUCUCAUUGUGUUUCUUUCUUGAUUUGAGUAUAGACAGGAAUAAAGGUAGAUCCUUUGGAUUAUAUGAAGAAUAUGGCAAACCUCUGAUUUUUUCACAUUUGUAUCAAACGACGACGUAAUGAGUCAGAAACACCGAGGGCCUCUCGUUUCAUGAGAGAGAGAAAAAAAAUCUUAUCUUUGUGACAGCGGUGGUGGUGUGUGAUGUUGUCAGCCAUGGCAAAGACAGAGCAACAACGAUCUCUCUCUUUUCCCUUCUUCUGUGUCUGUCUUUAAAUAGAGUCUCUUUGAAACGAAGCAGCUUUGUCCUGUUUUGAUAUCCAUGGCUUUACCUUCGUGCUUAAAGACUGGAGUUUUAAUGUCUCCGGCCACUGGAAUUAAUUUUUCCGGCAGUCUUAUGAAGUUGGACAGUGGCUUUGCCGUUCCGACAAAGUUACAGAGUAAUCGAAAAGGUGAUCGAGAAAGAUUGAGAAUCCAAGCUGUCUUCAGUUUCCCUCCUGCGUUUCUGACAAGAAACGGUCGAGCUGAGAAGCAGAAACAGCUCAAACAAGAACUUCUUGAAGCCAUUGAGCCUCUUGAACGCGGUGCUAUGGCCUCGCCUGAUGACCAGCUUCGGAUUGAUCAGGUUCUUGAUUUCUCUUCCUUUAGGAACCAUUAGGGUCUAGAGAAUGUGAUUGAGAGACAAGUCUGAGUGACUUUUGUUUGUAUGGAGACAGUUAGCGCGUAAGGUGGAAGCAGUUAAUCCCACCAAGGAGCCUUUGAAAUCUGAUUUGAUCAAUGGGAAAUGGGAGCUUAUUUAUACAACCUCUGCUUCGAUUUUGCAGGCAAAGGUUAGGGCUUGUGUUGUUAUUGUUGUGUCUAAGUUUGCUUUUUUUUCUUGGCUUGUUGUGUCAUUCUCUUUUAUCUCUUAAACAAUGCAACAGAAACCAAGGUUCUUAAGAUCAAUUACCAACUACCAAUCUAUCAAUGUGGAUACAUUGAAGGUGCAAAACAUGGAGACUUGGCCUUUCUAUAACUCGGUAAUGUUUCAUUGUGGCUUGACUUGGCUCUUAACAAAGGAUAAAGACCAAACUUUUUAUCAUCAAUAUAGCUCUUUGGCGAGUCUUUCCUAUGUAUAAGUAAUAUUCCUUUAGCUGAGUUUGUAAAAGGAGUCUCAUAUAUUAGCAAACUACAAUCUUUUCAUAGGUAACUGGAGACAUAAAACCCCUCAAUUCGAAGAAGGUUGCUGUGAAACUCCAAGUGUUUAAAAUUCUCGGCUUUGUAAGUACACUAAAACUCUUACUGCUAUACGUGUGUGUGUCGAUAAGAGAACCUUACUGAUUCAGACACCAUAUGCUUCAUUUACUGAUUGGUGUGUGCUGUGCAGAUUCCUGUAAAAGCACCUGAUAGUGCACGCGGUGAACUAGAGAUUACCUAUGUGGAUGAGGAACUACGGUCAGUAGUGAAUGCACGUUUUCAUUUCUAUCGAACAAACCUUAAAACCUUAAAACAAUGUUUAUGUUUUGCAGGUUAUCAAGGGGUGACAAAGGCAACUUGUUUAUAUUGAAGAUGUUCGAUCCCACUUAUCGAAUCCCUCUCUGAUCUGUCGAACGAAAAUGGUCCGAGCCAUCCAUCAUACAUGCCUGAUACCCGCUUGUUCUGUCUCUCUUCAUCAUGUAUGUAAUCUAACAUAAAAAUAAUUAAUAAGAGGGAAUAAAAAGAGACGAGCUUUUUUCAUUGUUUCAACUUGUUCAAAUCAAAGAUUCUGAAUCUUGAUUUGGUUGAAUUGUGCUUACUUGAUCAGUUGGCUCCAAUCCUAAACUAUAUGAUACUGAAUCAGUACAAUCACCUUGAAGUUCCUCAAAGCUGCUUAUAUAGUUAUAUCAUUCUCUCUUUCAUGCAUGUCUCAUGUCUGUCUCCAUGACCUUCCUAUAUUGUUUCUGUUGAUUAUGAAUUUUCAAUAACACUAAGUUAAACCAAUUAGAUGUGAAUUGGUUAUGGUCUGGUACAAAGAUCUCAACCGGAUAAGGAUUGAAAAUUGGUUAAAGUGAUGGUCAGAGUUGGUUGGUUCUGUUGAACCAGGAAGAAAGGUAGAGCCUUUGGACAAUUUGAAGAAUCUGGCAAAGCUCUGCUUUUCCACAUUCGUUUCAAACGCCGCCGCCGCCGUUAUGAGUCAGAAACAACGAGGGCCUCUCGUUUAGAAGAAGAGAGAGAAAAACAUCUUAUCUUUGUGACUUUCGGUGGUGUGUGUGAUGUUGUUGUCAGCCAUGGCGAAGAAAGAUCAACGAUCUCUCUCUUUUUCCUUCUUAUGUGUCUAUCUUCGGACUUCGAACAGAGUCUCUCUGAAACGAAGCAGCGACUCUUGAAACUCCAUUGGAAAAACUUUUUGUCCUGUUUUGAUAUUCAUGGCUUUACCUUGGUACUUAAAGACUGGAGUUUUAAUGUCUCCUCCGGCCGCCGGAUUUAGUCUUCCAGGCAGUCUUAUGAAGUUGGACAGUGGCUUUGCCGUUCCGAAAAAGUUACAGAAUAUUCGUAAAGGUGAUCGGGAAAGAUUGAGAAUCCAAGCUGUUUUCAGCUUUCCUCCAAGAAACGGUCAAGCCGAGAAGCGGAAACAGCUCAAACAGGAACUUCUUGAAGCCAUUGAGCCUCUUGAACGUGGUGCCACUGCCACGCCUGAUGAUCAGCUUCGGAUUGAUCAGGUUCUUGAUUUCUCUUCCUGUGGGAACCAUUCUUGAGAACAGUUUUGGAAAACUAGGGUCUAGAGAAUGUGACUGAGAGACUAAUCUUAGUGAUUGUUGUUUUGAGUCGUGACAGUUAGCACGUAAAGUGGAAGCAGUAAACCCAACCAAUGAGCCUCUCAAGUCUGAUUUAAUCAAUGGGAAAUGGGAGCUCAUUUAUACAACAUCUGCUGCGAUUUUGCAAGCAAAGGUUAGAACUUGUGUUGUUGUUGUGUAUAUCUUUUUUCUUUUGCCUUGUUGUGUCAUUUUCUCUGUCUCUUUGACAAUGUAACAGAAACCAAGGUUCUUAAGAUCAAUAACAAACUACCAAUGUAUCAAUAUGGAUACACUAAAGGUGCAAAGAAUGGAGACUUGGCCUUUCUAUAACUCGGUAAUGUUUCAAACCGCUGAAUCCUCUUUUUGUACCAUUUUCACAAGUAGGUUUGCAUUGUGUUAGACCAUAUACAAAGCUCAUUUUUCUGUGAUGUGGAAACCUAUUGAUUGCUAUAAAAUGUUCAAAAUGUACAAAAGUUUGUGACUUUGUCACAUAUAUGUAUGAUCACGUUCCAUUGUGGCAGACUAGGCAAGAACAAAGGACUAUAUGUAUAAUACCAAAAGUAAUAUUCCUUUGGCAGAGUUUGUAAAAUGAGACUCAUAUAUUAUAGCAAACUACAAUGUUUUCCUAGGUAACUGGAGAUUUGACACCCCUCAAUUCGAAGAAGGUUGCUGUGAAACUCCAAGUGUUUAAAAUUCUCGGUUUUGUAAGUAUACCAAAAGUCUUGCUGCUAUAAGAGAACCUCUACAGUAGAAGCUCUACUUAUACACCUUAUAUGCUUCUUUUGCUGAUUAGUGUUUGUUGUGUAGAUUCCUGUAAAAGCACCUGAUAGCGCCCGCGGUGAACUAGAGAUUACUUAUGUGGACGAGGAACUACGGUCAGUAGUGAUUUGAAUGAUAGUUUUCACUCCUAUGGAAGUGACAACCAAAAACGUUUGAAUCUUAAAACAAUGUUCUUUUUUUACAGGAUAUCAAGGGGCAAAGGCAACUUGUUGUUUAUAUUGAAGAUGUUCGAUCCCACUUAUCGAAUCCCUCUCUGAUCGAAAAAAUGGCUCCGAGCCAUCGUACAUACCUUAUACUCUUCAUAUGUAAUCUAACAUAAAAUCUAAUAAGAGAGAAUAAAAAGACAAGCUUUUAUAAACGUUUCAACUUGUUCUGAUCGACAUUGCACAAUAUCAGAUAAAAUGCUCAAAAAUUGAGGAAGCUCAAGGCGAUACUCCAGUAGUCCAGUUUCAAAGGGACUCCAUUGAUGUUGUUUGUUGCUUGCUGCUUCUUGAGAUAAUAAUACAGACAAUUUAGAUCAUCCUUUUCAAAGUUUUGUGACACUAGCAUUUGCAUCUAACUGGUUUGGUUUUAACUCACCAACCUUGCUCGCUAUUAAUAACUUUUUUUUUAUGUUAAUAACCAAGACUUUAAUUUUGAUUUUGACAACUUUUGGUAUUAUGUCACCUAAUUAGAAUUCACUAGUUGUUCUGCUUUAGAAUCUUAACAGAAUCUAAAACUCUUGAAUAAGACUUGAAUACAAAUGUGCAAGUUAAGUAAUUCACCUUUGGAAUCUUAACAAAAUCUAAAACUCAAGCAUACCUCUGAGUUAUGGUAGAUGGUGACAUGGUGUGUAGGGUCAACCACACCUCACUGUACUGAUGAUGUCUGAUGGACCCUCUCUCACACACACAUGCACAUAAUUUUACAUAAUCUUAAUACAUACAAUCUCUGUAUAUAAUAAUAAAUUCUUCUGUCUUCAAAGUUUCAGAACAAGGUUCCUAUCUCUCAUUCAACGGUCAUUAACUCAUUAUUCACUCCAACCCCGCUCCUCUUCUUCUUCUUCCAAACAUGUCUCAGAAGCCAAAGCAUAUGUCUUUAGUUAUGGCUUCACUUGUAACUCUUUAUCUUUUGGCCACUUUAUUAUCUUCAGCAGAGUCCAAGACUUACUGGGGUGAUGUGACAGCUCUCAAAGAGUUGAAAAACUCAGUAGAUGCCAAAUCGAUGCGUCCAGGCUCUUGUCUGAGUACCUGGGACUUCUCCGUCGAUCCCUGCGACAGUGUCUUCAGCGACACAUUCACUUGCGGGCUCCGCUGCGUAUCGGGUCGGGUCACGGAGCUUAGUUUUGACCAGGCCGGUUACUCCGGCUCCCUCUCCUCCUUCUCCUUCAACCUCCCUUAUCUCCACACCCUCGAUCUCUCCGGCAACUACUUCUCCGGUCCACUCCCCGACUCGCUCUCCAAUCUCACUCAUCUCACCCGCCUCGCCCUCUCCGCAAACUCCUUCUCAGGAUCCAUACCCGAUUCUCUCGGGUCGUUGUCGCUUCUCGAGGAGCUCCUCCUCGACGGAAACCGUCUCGACGGCUCUGUUCCGGUGAGUUUCAACGGUCUUUCCAACCUAAAACGGCUAGAGAUCCAGGUCAACAACAUCUCCGGCGAGUUCCCCGAUCUGAACUCACUCAAAAACCUGUAUUUCCUCGACGCUAGCGAUAACCGCAUCUCGGGUCGGAUCCCGUCAUCGUUACCGGAAUCUCUAGUCCAAAUCUCCAUGCGAAACAACCUCAUCCAUGGAACCAUCCCUCAAAGCUUCAAACUUUUCAACUCUCUCCAAGUGAUUGAUCUUACCCACAACAAACUCAGCGGCUCAAUCCCAUCCUUCAUCUUCACUCAUCAGUCUCUACAGCAGCUAACACUGUCCUUCAAUGGCUUCACCUCUUUAGAUUCACCGUACUAUUCCCCCUUGAGUCUCCCCAGCGAGCUCAUAUCCAUCGAUCUCAGCAACAACCGGAUCCAAGGCGUGUUACCUCUGUUCUUGGGUUUAUUACCAAAGCUCUCAGCUUUGUCCUUGGAGAACAACAACUUCUUUGGUAUGAUUCCGACCCAAUAUGUUUGGAAAACCGUAUCGUCCGGAUCCGAGUUCGCCGGGUUUCAGAGACUCUUACUAGGCGGGAAUUUCUUAUUCGGUGUCGUACCGGGUCCUUUGAUGGCCCUCAAGCCUGGCUCAACGAACUUGCAGCUCGCCGGAAACUGCUUCUCGUGGUGUCCGGCGACUUUGUUCUUCUGCCAAGGGCAAGAGCAGAGAUCUCCUACGGAAUGCAGAAAGUUUAGCCGUCUUAUUCCAUGAUCUUCUCGUUUCUUGUUUUAUUACAUUCUCUUUAUCUUUUUUUGUUUCCGCUUUCCAUUAUGGUUGAUCCACAUCGAUAUAUGGGGCAGAGAAAUCAAGAACAAAAUCUAAUGAGAGGGAAAAAGAUAAGAGAUGAGCUUUUGUUAAUAUUUCAACUUGUUCUGAUCUGAUCGACAGUGAAAGCUCAGAACUUUGAAUUGGCAAGAGAAAUCAGAAAAGGACUCACCAUGUCCCUCUGUUUAUUCUAGAUCACAAUAAAAAAAUUUGUUUUUUUUUCCAUCUUUCUUGGUGUGUGUUCAAACGACGCCGUCCGAAGCUGGUGCGACACAGACCUCUCGUUUCGGAUGGGUUUCAUCGCUCUGCAAUCUUGGAGCAGAGGAGCUUCAACUUCUCUUCACCUCCUUCGUCCAGGUAGGUAAGUUCGGUUCCUAAGUCCGUAUAAUCAUAUUAUGUGUAUUCGAUAAUAACUCUUUUUUGGUUGAAUUGUGCUUACUUGAUCAGUUGGCUCCAAUCCUAAGCUAUAUGAUGCUCCACUAGUACAAGCAGUUACUGUAAGAUUCUGCCUCUUCUUGGUCCGAAUAAAAUCUACUAACAGAUAUGAUCUAAUUGUCUGAUUAUUAUAUUCAGGGUUUUAAGUUUGAUGUAAGAGCCUCUUCGAGUCGUAAAUCACUUAAGAAACUCAGAAGAGAGUCUCAACAAGGUAAAGACAUAACCACAAGAAAUGUUACAGAAGAAGAAGUUUCUUCUCCAAGAUUUGAAGAAGCUCAAGUUGAUACUCUAACUUCAAAGGAUUCUACUGGUGCUGUUGUUGUUGCUGCUCCUCGAGACAAAGUGCUUCAGGCGUGUACUGUAACUUCUGGUUUAAUGGCUGCACUAGGUCUGAUCAUCAGAAAGGUGAAUCCUUUUGAAAGUUUUGGUUUUGUUUAUUCUAUCAUUUGCAUCUUACUGAUUUGGUUUCUACUCGCAGGCGUCUCAUGUUGCUUCGACUGAAGGAUUACCAGUUCCUGACUGCUCGAUAGUUGUACCAUGUAACAUCUCUAAAAAUCUGAUUAUGUGGUGUACUAAUCGUUUGAGAGAAUCAUUAAACAAAACUGGAUUUUGUAUUGUCUGAUCUUUCUUGCAGUUGGGUUUGAAACUUGGCAUCUCGGUUUAAUUGCUGGAAUCGUUGUGUUUAUAUCAUCAAGUAGGUUCUUGCUACUGAAAUCUUGGCCAGAUUUUGCUGAUUCUAGUGAAGCAGCAAACCGACAGGUCAAAACAUUACACAUUACAUAGAUUUAUACGAUUCUCUAAACUCCACUUAUCAGCCUUUGGUGUUCACUACUUGCAGAUUCUUACUUCUCUCGAACCUCUAGAUUACCUUGUUGUUGCUAUGUUACCUGGAAUAAGUGAGGUAACAAUUAACAAUCACAAUAAACACACAGAAAGUGUUUCCUUUAAAAAUUUUGGUUCACUGGUUUGUAUCACACAGGAAAUGCUCUUUAGAGGUGCAUUAAUGCCUUUGCUCGGAACCAAUUGGAACGGUAUUGUAGCGGUUGGACUCAUUUUCGGUUUACUUCAUCUUGGGAGUGGAAGAAAGUAUUCUUUUGCAGUUUGGUAAGCCAUUUUUACUGAACAUUAUGGUACCUCAAUGAUGAUGAGAAUCACCAUGAUCAUUUCUCUCAUUGCAUUCACAUGUUCUUGCAUUUCUUUAUCGCAUUUCCGGGAUUUACCUAUUAAGUUCUGUUGCUGUUUCUUGAAAUUUUCAGGGCGUCGAUUGUCGGUAUAAUCUACGGUUAUGCAGCUGUUUUGUCGUCAAGUCUUCUUGUUCCGAUGGCCUCGCACGCGCUCAACAAUUUGGUGGGAGGUCUGUUGUGGCGACAUAGUUCCAAGAUCAAGUCAAUGGAGUGAAACAAACAAAAUUUACAAAGGGGCUGAAUUGAAAAGUAUACAAUUUAAAUGGGUGAUUUUGUCAAAUAUCUAUAGUAGAGGGUGGUUAUUGUAAUUUUUAAGGUUAAUCUACCAACGUCUGACACAAAGGACAAAGUGAAAAUUGGAUCUCUCACAAUUAAUGAAGUGAAAAGUGAAAAACAAAUCAUAAAAUUUCUUGUUUUAUUUCUUAAAUGAAAGUACUGUUCCAUGAAAAUUAUCAAUUAUAAUUGGUUUAAUUAAGUUUUUUUUAAUUACUGUUAAUGUUAUGUAUUACUAAACAUUUUUAAUGAAUUAAUUGAAGAAUAAUGUUACUGGAAAAAGAAGUGUUUUUUUUUUUUUCUGGUCAAAAAAGUCAGACGAGAACAGAGAAACGUGAACAAUGGAGAGACAGAGACGUCUCUUCUCUUCUGCGAAGUGUGAAUUUUUUAAAGUUUCUAUUUUUCUAAAUUCCAAAAUCGAUAAAUCAAGUUUCUUUCUUUUAUUGAAAUUUGCACACUUUACCUUGACAUUAAAGCAACAAGCUUUGGAACAAACAAAAAAUCUCAAAAACCCAGAAAUCGAGUGGGAGAAGAGAGAGAGCUGAUAUGCUACAAUAGAAAUGGCGAGUGGAUGUGCUAUACAUGGUGGUUGUCCCAGCGAUUACGUCGCCGUCGCAAUUUCAGUAAUCUGCUUCUUCGUGUAUGUGUUCCUUCUUCUUCUAUUUGAGCUCGUUUCAUCACUUAAAAAUCCCAUUUUUUCUCUAAGUUGUGAAGAUCUGGAUUUUUCAUUUACUGGGUUUGCUUGUUGACUCUUGACUUGAGUCGUCCUCGACGAAAAAAUCUCGAAUUUUGGGGUUUUGAAUGUUCGUACGAUGUCUCUCUUUGCUGUUUAAUUCUUUGUCUUGUAGGUGUUUGAUGUUAUGCCACAAAGGAUCUGUCUUUUGUUUCGUUUCAGUUUCUUUUGCUGAGAAUUUAGAUGUUUUCAUAUUCUUGAUAGCAAGAUUCAUAUACUUAUGUCCAAAAUCAAUCAAUGAACUUAGAUUUGAAAUUCAAAAGCUUGAUUUGAGUGAAUUAACUUCCAAGUAGCUCAAUUUCUCUACUAGUUGAUUCUAUCUGAUGGAUUUCACUUUGUUUAUUAGGCUUUUAUCGCGCUCGGUCUUACCUUGUUUGAUUCACAAGGCUCCUCGUACUAACAGUAGCAGUUUCUGGAUCCCUGUUAUUCAAGUUAUCGCCAGCUUCAACCUUCUGUUCUCAAUUAUGGUUAAGACUACUUCCAUUGCUCUUAAGAAUCACUUCAUUUGUUGAGUUUCUACACUAAUAUUUCCUUAAUGUUUAAUUUUUCAGAUGUCAGUUAAUUUACUUCGAUUCAGGACGAAACAUUGGUGGCGAUAUUGCUAUCUUUGGGCAGGUUUGUUUGGAAACCAUGAUUACUCAUCUUCGUAAACAAAUCGAUAGUUAGAUCAAUAAGUCUUGUAUAAUUUAAUCAAUGUAAUGUUUGGUUUCAGUGUGGAUUGAAGGACCACUUGGAUUUGGUUUGCUGAUGGGCUGCCGUAUAACUCAGGCAUUUCAACUAUACUUCAUAUUUGUCAAGUAAGGUUCAAUUUUGAUCAAAAUGUUUUCAAUUAUCGGGGAUAUUGGAUUCCCAAUUCUGUCUCUAUUGAUAUAAUUGUGUUUCAUGCUGUUUGGUUGCUAUAUAUUCUUUGCAAUGUAGGAAACGUCUACCACCCAUAAAAUCAUACAUUUUCCUCCCCCUUGUUUUGUUGCCAUGGAUCUUCGGAGCUGCAAGUAAGAAUUGUUCUGAACUUUGUAUGUACGGAGCAGUUCUUGGUUUCUCUUGUUUUGGAUAAUAACUCAAAGCUUUUGAAUUUGCAUUCAGUUAUCCACGCAACAAAGCCUCUCAAUGAUAAAUGCCACAUGCGUCUUCAAUGGACUUUCCCAGUUGCAGGCCUUCAUGCUCUCUAUGUCCUUGCUUUAAUUGCAUUCACAAGAGCAGUUCGACAUGUAGAGUUUCGUUUUGAUGAGCUUAGAGAUCUCUGGAAAGGAAUUCUCGUCUCAGCCACUUCAAUCAUUAUAUGGGUAACAGCGUUUGUGUUGAAUGAGAUUCAUGAAGAGAUCUCCUGGCUUCAGGUUGCUUCAAGAUUUGUGCUUCUAGUCACGGUAUGAAGCUAAUACCAGGACUGUUCUUUAUAUUUGUAGUUGGAAAACCUUUUAACAGACUACUGAGUUGAUUCUUCUUUCAGGGUGGGAUUCUCGUCGUUGUCUUCUUUUCCAUCUCGAGUAAUCAACCUCUUCUUUCACAAAUCAGCUUGAAGAAAAGAGAACACUUUGAGUUUCAAAGAAUGGGUCAAGCUCUAGGCAUUCCCGAUAGCGGCUUAUUAUUCCGAAAGGAGGAAUAUCGACCUGUUGAUCCAAACGAACCACUCGAUAAGCUUCUUCUCAAUAAAAGAUUUCGCCAAUCGUUUAUGGAAUUUGCUGAUAGGUACUCUAUUUGACGACUGACCUCAUUUUUAUCCCGGUUUCGCCAUUUAUUUAAAGUGAAUCGUUAUAUGAUGUUAGCUGCUAUGCUGGAGAAACAUUGCAUUUUUUUGAAGAAGUGUAUGAACAUGGAAAAAUCCCGGUAGAUGAUUCGAUAAGAAGAAUCUACAUGGCUCGACAUAUCAUGGAGAAGUUCAUUGUCUCAGGUUUAUUAUUUACCCAUCUUCUUUCUUCGUCGUAAACCCGUCUCAGGUGUUCUCUCUAUAAAUCUAACUAGUAAUUCCUUAAAUGCAGGAGCGGAAAUGGAAGUAAACUUAUCUCAUAAAACCCGACAAGAGAUCUUAACCACUCAAGAUCUAACUCACUCUGAUCUAUUCAAGAACGCAUUAAACGAAGUGAUGCAAUUGAUCAAGAUGGUAAAAUAACAUGUCUCUUUCACUCUCUUACGCCUUCAAGAAGCUUAAUUCUCUUGAUUCUCAUUUUCUAUGCGCUCAUUUUUGUAAUGAAUUUGAAGAACUUGGUGAGAGAUUACUGGACAUCAAUAUACUUCAUCAAGUUCAAAGAAGAAGAAAGCUGCGACGAGGCAAUGCAAAAGGAAGGAUGGAGUUUUUCGUCUCCAAGACUGAGUUCAGUUCAAGGCUCUGAUGAUCCUUUCUAUCAAGAACAUAUGUCAAAGAGUUCCAGAUGCAGUAGUCCCGGUUAAGGAGUCUAAACCGGUACUAGACCAGAACGAAAAACCAAUGUUCAUAGCAAUCCAAUCCAUAUAAUCUUCUUCACAUUUCUUGUACAUGUCCUCUUCUUACUCUUUUUAUUAUACCAAACUGUAAGAGAAAGUGUAUGGUUCGGAUUUGUAUACAGGAAGAUAAAAACUAUGGAACCAUACUAAUUAAUUUCUGGGAAAUUUUUUUACGUACAUUACAACCUCUAUAAAUUAAUACGCGAUAAACUAAUUUUUUAUAAAUUAAUAAAAAAUUUAGGUCUCGAAUUGGGAUCAUUGUAAAAAAUAACAUAAAUCGAUAAAAUAAUAAAAUAAUAACUUUUUUGAAAAUCAUACGUAAACAUGAUCUCAAUUCUCAUCAAUAACAUAAAUUAAUAAUUUUAUAAACUUAUAAAUAUAUAUGUAUAUAUAUAUAUAUAUUAUAUGUAAAAGUAUUUAGUGAAAUAUGACUCUAGUGUUGUUUAUUUUUCUUGAAUUUGUAUUAAUUCUUGGUUAAGUUCAUUUCUAAUAUUUUUACUACAUAGAUAUAAGUUUGUGUUGUUUUCUAAACUUAAUACUCCCUCCGUUUCAGUUUAGUUGUCGUUUUAAGAUUUAAAUUUUGUUUCAUAAUAGUUGUCGUUUUAGGUUUUCAAUGCAAAUGUUUGGUGAAAAUCCAGUUUUAUCCCUACAGUUUUAAUGUUUUGGCCAAUGAAAUUUUUUAUAAAAUAUAUUAAUAAAGUGUAAAACAGAAAAUUUAAUGCUUUCUUAAUUUGUGUGAAAAAACCUUAAACGACAACUAAAACGAAACGGAGGGAGUACUCCUUUUGUUUCACUAAGAGUGUCAUUGUAAAAUUUUAUUUUUGUUUCACAAAGAGUGUCAUUCUACAAUUUCAAUGUUAUUUUUACACUAAAUUUUCUAAUUUACCCCUUGAGUCAAAGCUACUUUCCACUGACUUUAAAUCAUUAGUUACUUAUUAAAUAAAGGCAUAUAUGUAUAAUACAAUGUUUUUUUAAUUUGUGUGAAAUGUGUCAAAAUGACACUCUUUGGUGAAAAGGAGAGAGUAAUUAAUUUUCUAUUUUAUAAUGAAAAAAACUACUUUUGAGAUUAAAAAAAAAUGUCAAUCUCGUGAGCAAGUGAAGUUGGCGCAUAAGUUGUACCUGGGACCGACGGUCCAUAAUUGGUACGAUCGAUCGGUCCACCUUCAAAUGAGAUUUUAAAGUUUUAAGAACGACGCAUAAUAUGAUCCAUGUUUAAUUAUCUGAUUUAUGCUUUCAUGAAUCCUUGAGAUUUUCAUGUGUCCAAUGUUUUUUUUAUCUCCUUAUUGCUUUUUUUUUUCUUUUACUUAAUUUAUUGAAAACAAUAAAACUUUCAUUUUGUAUUAGCACUUUUACAAAAUUUGUAAUGUUUUUUUUUUGGUUUUUGUGGAUUCGAUCCUAAUUAAAGUGUUACACUAUAUUACCCCUAAAGUUUUUAAUGAUGCGUUAAUCACUAUAUUUUAUAAUAAUUAGUAGAAUAUUUUAAAAUAUCACCAAAAUAAACUAUAUAUUAAAUAUUAGUGUACUUUUUAGAGUAAAUAUAAUAAAUGUCUUAAUAUAUCUUUAAAAAUUAAUUUGAAGUAUUUUAUGUGAUAAGAAUAUUAAAUUUUGUUUUUAAUUUUUGUAAAAUAGUUAUUUUAAUACUUUUAGCUAUUUUUGUUGGUUUUGUAUAUCUACGGAUAUUAUCUAAAUAUUUCAACAUUUCGGAUAAUUUGAUCCGGUGGAGAUAAAAUAGAACCAUUUUCUACUACACAAUGGAAAGUUGAAAGAAAAAGAAAACAAAUUAUAUGUGUAGGUAAAGAGUCUUGUCAGAGAAUGAAAAAAAAAGGUUUAAAUUAAUGUUUCAUUAUUAAUUUAUUAUGGUGAAUCUGUCCCAAAUAUUAGUGGUUCUCAUCUCACAAUAUAUAAAGAUUAAUUCCCAAAGAAGAUUUUUAACAUUAAAACCCUUGUUUAAAAAAUGGCUAGACGUUAGUCGGGCGUUCGGUAUGGAUCUAGCGAUUAAUUGAAAAAUCAGAUUGAAAUUGGGGAUUAAUUGAGGAUUAGUUUUAGGGUUAUUUUAAUAUUUUUAAAACAUAUUAAUCUAAUGUUUUUUUUCAUAAUUGCAGAAAACACAUAAAAUUGUCUUUUUGAGAUAAAUUUUAUGAUUUUUAUUAAAGUUUGAACAUAAGUUAUUAUAAAACAUCACAAACUCUCAAUUUAAAUGAUUGAAUAACAAAAAUAAAAAGGUUUUUUAUACUUGGAAUCUAAAAAUAAUCCGGAUAUAUAAAAUUAGGCGGAGAGUUAUCGGAUUAGGCGGAAAGUAAUCGGAUUAGGCGGAGAAUAAUCGGAAAACUGAUUUCUUUAGGGGAUUAGUCAUUAAUCGAGACAGAUAGAAUAGACCUAGUGAUUAAGCGGAGAGUAAUUGGACUAAACGGAGAUUUUUAGAACAGGGAUUAAAACCAAAAUAAAUAAAUAAAUUUUGCUGAAAGGUUUGGUCAAAUAUAUAUGGCAAUUAUUGGGUGUUGUCGCUUGCAACUCCUGAUGAUGUUGUUCCCAAGAUAGUUUAUAAAAUUGAAGAGAAACUUUAUCAUUUUAUCUUUCACCUAAUUAUAUAAUUUCAAUAUAUUUUUUUUUUGGUUUUUAUCAUGUGGGAAAUUCUCUAAAUAAAAAUUACAUAUGUUUUAUGUUCCAAAACUAUCAUACAUUUAAAUUUUCGAAAAUGCUACAAACUUCUAUAAAAAAAAAAAGAGGUUUCCACCCAAAAUUUUUCUUAGAUCAUGUGAUUUAUCUGGAAGGUCCGUAACUCAAAGGUUUUUGAGAACAAGGACACCCAUCCUGCCGACACGUUUUAGCUUGCCUCGAAUGAAGCAGAAUCUUUUCGAGUAGCACGAGCACGCGAAACGAUCGCAAUCCCCAAGUAUCCCAUCGUUCCACAAAGCCAGUCCCAGCCGACUCUCGAGUUCGCCAGGUAGAUGGGUCUUGGGUGGAUAUUUUCACUCUAAGUGGUAUUGGUUGGAUUGUUAGAGCAGAUCAAAAUAUGAUUCAUUUGGGUUUAAAGAGCUUUCGUAAAUAUUUAUCCCCGCUUCUCGCAGAGUUUGAGUCUCUCCUUUGAGCAAUGAGAUCUCUUAUUUCACUUUCUAUAUUUGACGUUGCUUUUGAGACAUAUUGCAUAGAGUUAACUCAGGGUUUAGACACUCCCGAUGAGUGGCCUGCUUUUUCGUCAGAGUUAGAAGAUUUUAGUUCUUUGAAAUUAUUUUUUCCCUUUUAGUUUAUCUUUUAUUCCACGUUGUAACAAUACCGUACUGACUGCCUUGCAAAGAAUGCACGAACACGUAGUGCUAUCUUUUCCCAUAUAAGCUCUGUAACUCCAUAUUGAUUUUCUUCAGAAGAAAACCGUUCAAUUUUAACUUGAAUGAAUGAACUAUUGUUGCUGUAAACAAAAAUUAAAAAAAAAGGUUUUAGAGAGUUCGCAAAUAGCCCUUAAAAUGUUUAUUUCCUUUAAUUUUCUGUUUUGAUUAUUAUUUCUACUUGAGAAAAUACCAAAAUGUCAUUAGCAAAACUAUAUAUAUAUAUAUAUGUAUAUAUAUAUAUAUAUAUGUAUAUACUAUAGAUAUAUACCACAAUGCACGUUUAAUAUUCUUGUAGAUAAAGCCACCACUUCCACUUUAUAUUAGCCAGGUUGGUAUUGCUUCUAAGCAUAAAGAAUAAGUUUAUAAGGUUACCGUAGAAUGAGCUGGACAGUUUAUUUUUCACCCUCAUACCAAAAGAUAACUUUAACACAAAACUAACAUCUUCCACUCUCAUGUUUCGAUUAGUUGCGGUGAUUAAGGCGGACAAAUCUGUUUGCGGUUUAAACCACUUUUUUAUUAUCAUUCAUAAACUAUAAUAUGGAAUAGUAUAAAUUAUAAAAAUUAUACCAAAUCAACAACAAACGUAUGAUGGACCGUUUUACGUAGAAAUAAACAUAAUCUGCGACGAUUUAUUGUCCGUUUUGAAAAAUAUUACUUCCUUUGUCCCAAUAUAUAAGAUAUUUUAGACUUUUUUAUUUGUUCCAUUAUAUAAGAUUGUCUCUAACUUCAAUGCAUAAUUUAUAUUAGUUUAAUAGUUUUUAAUUAUUUUAAUUAUGCAAUAUCUUCUUCUAUAGGUUGAAUUUUCAUAAAUGAAAAAACAUUUAUUAUUUCUUAAUUUCUGUGUUUUUACUCCAAACAUCUAAUCUACUUAACAUUUUUGAAGUACAAAUUUGCUCAAAGCCAAUCGGGUCGGGUUUUUUAAAAGAUUUUGACCCGAUUAGAUUUUUGGAUCCGACUCACUGGCCAAUCAAAACUCUCGGAUUCUUUUAAAUGCGACUUUCCAAAAAAAAAAUCAACUAAUUCGACUAAAUAUCCUCUUAAUUACAUUCCUAAUCUAACAAAUCCUAACAAUGGAAUCUCUUCCACAAAUUUUGACUAUUAUUAUGUAUAAUCUAUUUUGGUAAGAUUUUUUCUACAAUAAUUACAACAUUAAUUAUACGAUUAUAACAACUAAACAUGGAAUCCUAACAAUAUACUUUAAUUUCUGACGAUUUGUUUAUCUCAUUGUAUCCCAUUUAUAUGCUAAAUAUAUUCUACAAAUCUAUUCAGUUUCCUAAUAAAAUUGAACAAUAUAAUGUCUACAUUCAAUAUACACAACAUCAAUUGGAAAUGUCUAAUAAAUCAAACUAUUUGUUCUUAAUUUUGACGAAUUAUCUAUAAAGCAUAUUCUAUAUAUUAUUGAAUCAAAGAUUUGUAAAGAUAUUCUAUACUUUCUCAACACGAAUUUCUUAAAUUCUCUAACCUAAACGCCAAGAGACUAUGACAUCUAUAAAUAUGUUUUCGCUAACAGAGAAUUACACAUCAGCACAAAGUUUACCUUUUAACACGAUAAGAUAAGCAUUUCCAGAAAUCAAUGGUUGCUUCAUUUUCCAAUCUCAGAGAUUUGACAUUUGAGACCUUACAAAGCCGCAUGGUGCGUCCAAGUUUAAGAACCUGCAUUCAUGGACAAUAUACUGUCAAAAAAAGGGAGACACUUGAUAUGGUCUAGACUGAUGAGAAAGUAAGUUUCCAUGUACUAAGAUUUGAUUCUAAACCUUUUUCUUAUCAACUAACUUGAUAUGUUGCAUGUCUUAGGAAGCAAAGUAUUUUCUGGUCGAAUCUAAGAAUAUAGAGGUAAGAGUUCGUAUAUCCUACUCUUUCAAACAUUCUAAAUGGUUCUUAAUAAGUAGGAAAUCUUAACUUGAUGACCAGCUUUAAUGCUGGUAGAAAAAUAUUUUUAUCUACCACGUUUAAUAGUUUCCACUUUCCAGUGGAUGAAAAUCUUUACAUUCCAGAGGUGGAAGAAUUCAAAACAAUGUAAGCAUCUGCACUAGAGGUUUGACUUAUUUGUAUCUCCAAUUAAACUAAUUUAGUUUGUCUCUUGAUUCUAAUUUGCAGGCUCCAAAGCAAAAAACUAUCAAGAAGACUGAUUGAAAAAAAAGAAAUCAAAGAGAGAAGAUCAAAAACGGUAGUAAAACCGUAGAUAAAACGAAAAAAUCGAUAAAGAAACCUUUUAGGAAUGAUUGAUGAUGAUACGAGAAGCCAUUUUUGUGCAAUCGGAGCUGCUUUAGCCAAUCCCAAUUCGCAACUGCAAAUGAAAACAAAAAUGGUAGGAAUUUCGUUAGGGUUUUUCUCCUUCCUUUUCCUUAGAUUUCUUCUUGUCGAAGAGUGGACUGUUUUGUUUGUAACAUUGUUGAUAUGGCUUGCAUUGAACCCAAGUUAGGUCACUUCCCGUGUCAGCGAUGGCAAGGACUUUCGACGGAGGAGUACCGAUUGAGAUACUCAUCAAGUAUUCGCCGCCAUUUGAAAUCAACCCGGAUUGGAGGUCGGUUUUGGUAUUGAAACGGCGAGAGCGUGAGAUUGAGCGGAGGAAAGUAGCGUUGAGACCGUCGGAGACGGUGUGGUGAGGGUUGUAAAGUGGAGAAUGAGGAGAGUCACGGUGGAUUAGCUCAACGGUUAGGUUUUCCCUGUUAGCUGAAGAAGUUGAAGCGAAGAAGAUGGUUUUUGAUUAUGGAAUUGUCGAAUUAUCCUCAAUUCAAUUUUGAAACAGUAAAUCUGUGGAUGUAAGAUAUAAUCCGAUCUAGAACUCACCAAUCGUUGAAGAAAAACAGAAAAUCGCAGUGUACAAGUGAAGGAUCACUUCGAAGAAGCUGGGAUUCAAUGAUGAACACGACCGAGAGAAAGAGUCAAAGAGACGAAGAUAAUUUGUUUGAUUGAUUAUGUUUUUAGAAUUGACAAAAUGCCUUACAUGUACCAGAUUGUGUCGUCUCAACAUAUUGUACCAACACCAUUUUAUACUGCCGGUUAAAUCGCCUCCAACGAACUCUCCGCCACCGUCAAAGAUAGCGUCUUCCUCCAUCUCUCUCUCGGAAAUAACCAUUAAAAAACAAGGGUCAUGACGAUUGCCAAACGCAUCGUUUAGUAUUUGUUGGGCUACGCUUUGUGAUUUACAUGGGCCACUUCCCACUUUCCCAUUUCUAUUGUAAAUACUAAAUACAAGAUUUGCAUAUUAAAAAUCCUAUAUAUUCAUUUCUAUGGUAAAUGCAAAUCGAAAAACCCUAUAUAUUCACUUCAACUGACAUUCCAACUUCAAUAAGGUUUUUUAUUUAUUUUUAAUUAUUUAAAAAUUAUAAUUAAAAUGUGGCAUAAUAUUAUUAUUUAAAUAUUUAUAUAUAUAGUUAUAAUUUUAUAAUAUGUUUUAAUAUCGGUGGUAUAUUAAUUUUACGGGUUGGUCCAAAAAUACAUACUAAUUUAAAUAUAUAUAUAUAUAUAUAUAUAUAUAUAUAUAUAUAUAUAUAUAUAUAUAUAUAUAUAUAUAUAUAUAUUAUGGAAACCAUUUGAAAGCAAACUUUUAAAUUGAGUCGAAUUAUAUGUCUUUUAAAUAAAAAUAUUAUUAAAAAAAUAACAAAAUGAUGUUUAAUUUCACAGGACGGGAUUAUAUGGUGAGACGGGUUUGGGUCGAUAUUAAUAGGAGACAAUAUACCACGGGUGAAAUCUUAGAAAUAAUAAAUCAAAAUACAAUUAUACAAUCUUAAACACAAAACAAAACAAGUACAAUUUAAAAUUUUUAUUUUUUAGUUACAGCAUAUGUAAUCCGCGGUGUACAAUAAAAAAUAUUCUAUAUAACAAAUUUAUCAGUUUAUAAAUAGAUAAAAAAAUCAUAUAAUUAACCUGCGGUGUACCGCGGGUCAUAUCCUAGUAAAAUGGGAUAGAAAGAGUAUGUUUUAGUCCGCUUUACCCACAUCAUUCAUUCAAACUUUCAAAGCUACACUAUAUCAAAAAAAACUUCAACAUAAAAUGAGCUAAUAUUUUCAAUCUUAUAUAUUUUAAUCUUAAUAAGCUCAUUCUCUCUGGUUUUAAUUCUACUUACGGUCACGGAUUUUCGCUAUAACGUAACCUUACCAUCUAGACAUGAAUACUCAAACUGGAAUGAAUUUAACAAAUUUUACUCCUAUUUUCAGAGAAAAUAAUAAUAAACAUGAAAAAGUAUGGGGAUGUCAUCAUAGUGGAUAACUAUGUCAGGACUCAUGAGUAAUAAUCAAUUUUUUUUUCUCAACUUAAUAAACUAUAAAAGAUCCGUUGGAUGGAUAGAUAACUUGUUCUACCACUCAAACCAAGUUUUGGAUGCACACGUCUACAUACACAUGCAUACAUGCUUGAAUCAUCAUGAUAUUAUACUCCAUUACAAUCAAAACAUAUAUGUGACAUAUCACAUAUACAUACACAUCCACAUCCACAAACUAUCAGAAUUUAAGUCCGCAUAAAGAGACACCGCAACUUUCUUUCUUCUUCAUUCACUUCUCUCAACGCCAAAUUUGCAGACUUUCCCAGGACGAAAACUAAAAAAGAUCCUUUUUUUUUCUUAACAGUCAAUUCUCUAACAAAACAUUCUCCCAUCAUUCUUUCCAUCUUCUAUGCUCUGAUCAGAAAACAGAACACAAGACAAAGAAACUCACUUUAGCUUUGUCUUUAAAUUCUGAUGUUCGAAUUAUUGUUGUUGAUGAUGAAUCUGAUGAUGAAUUGAUGAUGAUGAUUGUUUGAUGCAGAUGGGUUUUAAGAAUUUUCAACCUUUUUCUUAAAAAGUAAUCAUUUUUAUCCAUUUUUCAAGUUUCUGUUGAAUUCUGUGAUUUUGUCUCUGAUUGUGAAUCUGGGUAAUGAUCAAACUGUGAUAUUAGUUAACAUUUUCCCAAAAUUGAUUGAUCUCUCUGAUGGGUUUGUUUGGUCAAUCUGAAUUGAUUUCUGGGUUUCUUGUUCUGAUCAUGGUUUGGUCAAAACUUUGAGUUUCCGUGUGCAGAGGAGAAGGAGAAGUCCUUUGCGUGUGACAAACAGUUUUCUUAUUAUCUUCCGUAUCAGAUCCAAUCUUUCUUUAAGAUUCCUUUUUUCACCUUUGUGUCCUUUAUAGAAUAAUCAUUGUUGAUUCCUACUCUUCUCUUCCAAGUUUUCUUCUUUCAUUCUUGGUUGAUUUGAUUUGAUUGAUUCACAGAUUCUUUCUUUGUUCUUGAUUUGUUAAAAAGGUUUCAACUUUUCUGGUUAUUGAUUAUGAUUUGGAUCCUUACUAGUUUCUGUAGAUCAAAAAGCUUAAAACUUGUUCAGAAAUACUAGAGACAACAGAAUUUGCAGGUAACUUUAUGGGGAUCUUGUUCUGUGUGUUUUCUCAUCUUUCAGGCAAAUCAGAGUGUGACUUUGUCUUAAUUUGUGAUUUGUAGAUAAUCUUGUGUUUAUAAUGGAUGCUACAACUAGUGGAACUCCGGGAUUACAGUAUCUUAACUUACCGGAGCAACCGGUUCCGACUGCUUCUCCUCCUGUGUCACCAUUUCAGAGGCCAAAACGACAUUGCUUUGGUGACUCAACUCCUGGAGAGUUUCCUUUAGCAGCUAAUCCGUCCAUUGUCCUUCAUGUUCUCACUGAAUGUAGAUUGGAUCCUCGUGACCUCGCUAAUCUCGAGGUUUUGUUUCGAAAAAUGUCGGAAAUGUGUACUGAUAUUUCGAGGAUUGAUUGUUCUGCUGAUUUGAUUGUUGUUGUUGUUGUUGUAGGCAACAUGCUCGUUCUUUAGCCAGCCAGCAAACUUUGCCCCGGACAUUAAUCUAUCACUAUCGGAGCUCGCUGCUCUCGACAUGUGUAAUAAAAGGGUGAUUUUCAAGCCGAUGAAUGAAGAAGAACGUCAAGAGAUGAAACGUAGAUGCGGUGGAUCGUGGAAAUUGGUCCUUCGGUUUUUGCUGGCUGGUGAAGCGUGUUGUCGAAGAGAGAAAUCUCAAGCAGUUGCUGGUCCUGGUCAUAGUAUCGCAGUCACAUCAAAAGGCGAAGUUUAUACUUUCGGAUAUAAUAACUCUGGACAGCUAGGACAUGGUCAUACUGAGGAACAAGCUCGAAUUCAACCUGUUAGGUCAUUUUCAUCAUCAUCAAGAUCUGAACAGAGAAGAAAAUAUAUGCUCUUGGGUUGAUGGAGUGUUAUCGUGCUGUGCAGAUCAUUGCAGGGAAUUCGAAUCAUCCAAGCAGCUGCUGGUGCUGCUCGGACAAUGCUAAUAAGCGAUGACGGAAAAGUUUAUGCGUGCGGAAAAGAAUCAUUUGGGGAAGCUGAAUACGGAGGGCAAGGGACUCAACCAGUUACAACUCCUCAGCUUGUAACAUCUUUAAAGAACAUAUUUGUUGUGCAAGCGGCUAUCGGAAAUUACUUUACCGCUGUGCUCUCCCGAGAAGGAAAGGUUUAUACAUUCUCGUGGGGCAACGACGGUAGACUAGGACACCAAACCGAGGCUGCGGAUGUUGAGCCCCGUCCUUUGUUAGGCCCACUCGAGAAUGUACCCGUUGUGCAGAUUGCUGCUGGUUAUUGCUACCUUCUUGCCUUAGCUUGUCAACCAAAUGGAAUGUGAGUUCCUUUUUAACACUUUCGACGGGUUCAACAAUAUUAUAGGUUACAACAAAUGUAGUCAUAUUUGUAUGGUUAAAUUCUUUUGACAAAAAUAAUUUGGAUCCUAAAUUUUUUGCUAUGUUUCUAUGGGUCAUGUGCAAUAGCACAUUAUGUAAAUGCCCAACACCGGCACUGAUGCGGUAGCAUGCUUAUUUUAGGUCUGUUUACUCGGUUGGUUGCGGUUUGGGAGGCAAACUUGGUCAUGGGUCAAGAACGGAUGAGAAGUAUCCUCGGGUUAUCGAGCAGUUUAAGAUAUUGAAUCUUCAACCUAGGGUAGUUGCAGCGGGUGCUUGGCAUGCUGCGGUGGUAGGUCAGGACGGAAGAGUGUGCACUUGGGGUUGGGGAAGAUACGGAUGUUUAGGGCACGGUAACGAGGAGUGUGAAUCAGUCCCUAAGGUUGUAGAAGGGCUAAACCAUGUCAAGGCGGUUCAUGUCGCAACAGGCGAUUACACUACUUUUGUGGUCUCAGACGAUGGUGAUGUUUAUUCGUUUGGUUGCGGCGAAUCCGCUAGCCUCGGUCACCAUCCCUCCUUUGAUGAACAGGUUAGCGAUUGACUAUGGCCUCUAUUGUUUCUUUUGCUUACGUUAUAUGUUAUAAACUUAUAAUGUGUUUUUUUUUGUCAAAUAUCCACAGAUUUUAGCGUUUUAAUCAUACAUUUGAUAUAAAAACAAAAAAUGUUGUGUUUAAAAGAAUGUGAGAAACGUAUUUUAGCUUAUAAAUACAAACGCAAAUGAAAACUCGAAUCCUUUAUGUCAUUUGAGUCGUAUGUUUGGUUUGAUUUUGGUCCUUUUUUUGCAGGGUAAUCGACAUGCAAACGUGCUAAGUCCAGCGGUAGUAACAUCGCUGAAACAAGCGAACGAGCGGGUGGUUCAGAUUAGUCUAACGAACUCUAUAUAUUGGAACGCUCAUACGUUUGCGCUCACGGAAUCGGGGAAGCUAUAUGCGUUUGGUGCAGGCGAUCAGGGUCAGCUUGGAGCAGAGCUUGAUAGGAACCGAAAAGAAAGGUGUGUACCGGAAAAAGUGGAUAUCGAUCUCAGCUAGUGAACUUAGUGGUCUAGUUGGCAAGAACUGCGAUUGACAUCAAGCAAAAAAAACGCAAGAAAAAUUGCGUUUGCUAUUUAUGUUCAUAAGACUUGGAAGCUUGUACAUAAAGUUAAGGAACUUGUCUUUAACAUUUCAUUGUAUAGGUUUUAGAUUAUUCUAAUUGUUCAUUGUUCAAGUUUUAGGUUAUGUUGUUAAUAAUUGUCAAAUAAUUUCAUUAAAUCAAUUAAUUGUCAGAUUCAAUUUCUAUUUCAUUUGUAUAAGAAGCCUAAAAGGCUAAAACCCCAAAAAAAUCCCAAAAUAUCUUUUUUUUUUUUCUUCUGAUUUGGUUUGAGAUCACUAAAAGUACCUUCUUUUUUUUUUCCAUUAUUGUUUGGUUUACAUUAGAGUACUAAAUUUUGAUUUCAGAAAAAUCUAAAGAAUCCUAUGUAUCAAAUUGUUUUUGCUAUAUUUGAUAGGAUUACAAGAAGCUUAAUUAGGAGUAGAAGAUAUAUGUAACUUGCAUAUUUCCUCAGCCGUUAAUAUUUUUGGCAAAACCUCAAAUUGCGUUACGUUAUCUUUGGACUUUGAUCAAACAACUAUAUAAGCAAAGAGUCUCAUUACACAAUUCAAGAAAAUAAUAAAUAAAGGAAAAUACCCAUAAAACAUUUUUAAAAAAAAGUUUUUUGGGCAUUACUAAUAAAAUAAAUUUAAAAUAAUGGCGCGUCUUCACGUAGCUCUCCUCCUCCUCUUCAUCGCUAUCUCCGCCGUGAUUGUAUCACCUGCUGAUAAUGAUAAACCACCGUCAACCACCACCGCCUCAGCUCCCACCGCUACAACUCCGACCGAUGGCAUUGGAGGUGAUGUAGUAGAAGGUCCAGCUGAUGACAAUGCUAUUGGAACAACUGACAACGACGAUGCAGCUGUUACUCCAGAUGAUGCUGCCGGAGAUGAUGAAGUGGCAGUCGCCGGACCUAUUGGAAGCGAUUCUUCGUACGCUAACUAUCCGCCACCUCAACAAGAAGCUUCCGGAAGCGGUGCCACCGUAGCUUUUGGCUUUGUCUCUGUUGUUGGUGCAAUGGCUGGAUCGCUCUUCUUUUUCUAGAGCUGUGAUCGGCGCGUAAAAAUAAUAUUUUGUAAUGAAUGUUUGAAAUAUUUUCUUGUAGAUGUAUAAAGUAUUUUGACUAUCCCUUCUUCGAUGUAACAUCGAUUAAAUUGGGAUGAUACAUCUUUUACAUGAUUACAAGAUGAUUUUUUUUUUUUUGUGCAUCUAUAAAUUUACAAAAUAGCACCCUCAAAUAGCCCACAAGAGAUGGGCCGUACUUUUUCACAGGCCUAGCCCACCAACGUGUGAGUUAGCGCGUGUCAUUCACGAGCAUAAAACCUGCGAACCAGACGCGCGUGGAUGCAUUUCUCCAUAUCUUCUCGUUCGUUAGCCGAUAGAAGAAUUUUGCGGAGAAGCGUCAAUGAAAGUCCAACGGUCAACUUUUUUCGCGGUGACCGGAAAAUCGAAUCUUCAUCACUUUCACUCUUCUUCUCAGGUUCUCUAUACUCUUCUCUGCGUCGUCAAAAUAAAUUAAAAAUCGUUCCUUUUGUCACUUCUACGAAUAACCCAUUUGCAAUUUCAGAAAAAAAAUCUGAACUUUUUUUCUGAUUUCAUUGCGUUUUCACUUGAUUCAUUGUGUCUUAAUCGAUUUCAGGGAAUCACCAUUUCCGAGCUUGAUUCACGACAGUUUUUGUCUAAAUUACUUGAGAGAAAAUGGGGAUUACAAAGUCCUGCAACUCCAAUUCAGCAGAUUAGUGUUUCUUCUGUCAAAGGAAUCGAUAAAUUCUCUUUCUUGAACAACACUCGUCCACAUCUCGGAGAUGAAAUGUCGAAGUCAAAGCAAGAUUCGUCUUUUUAUAUUCUUAGAGAUGAUCUUUUACAUCCUCUUGUGAAUGGUAACAAAGCUAGAAAGCUUGAUGCUUUGUUACCACUUCUUGAAGAUCAUAAAGUGACUGAUUUGGUGAGAAUGUGAUCACUUGCAAUAUUUGUCAAUUGGGUUCUUUGGAAAAGGCUUAAAGAUUAGAACUUUUUCUUGUGUAUAGGUUACAUGUGGAGGUUGUCAAAGUGCACAUACAGCUGCAGUUGGUAAAAGUUUGAAUCUUUAGAGAAUUAUAGGUUUUGAUUGCAGUGUGAAUCAGUUAUUUGUAUCUUGCAGCUGUUUCGUGUGCCGAGAGAGGUCUAAGAUCACAUUUGCUACUGCGUGGAGAACAGCCUGAUGUUUUGACUGGUUAUAACCUUGUUUCAACUAUGUAUGGAAAUGUUCAGUAUAUUCCAAGAUCAAGGUAUGCGAAUAGAGAGGAAAUGUUGAGAUCUCAUGCUGCUAUGGUGGCUGGGGAAGAUGGUUCUGUCUUAUGGGCUAAAGACAUUGUUGAGGGGCUUGAGGCUGGAUCAUUUUUCGAGUUUGACAACUUCUCGUAGAAAGGUUUUGAUCCUUAAUGAAGGCGCUGGAGACGCUCUUGCAUUACUCGGUAAAGAUUGAUUUUUGGAUAUAGUUUAGGUAGUGGACCAAAUCAAUGUGGAAGAACUGACCAAGAUUAUCGUUUAUGCAUAAUAGUUAACAAGGGCUUUGUCAUUACGCAGGUAUGUUUCGGUUAGUGCAGUAUUUUUCACAGGAUCAUUUACUCGGGAAGAAGAGGCCGGUUAAAUUUGUAGUGGAUGCUGGUACUGGAACAACUGCUGUGGGCUUAGGAGUUGCAGCUAUGUCUUUAGGGUUAGGCUUUAUUCAUAAGAUUUAUUGAAUACGCUCUGUGUCUGUUUCUUUUCCUGCUUGUCGAAGCUUUUAGCAUCUUGAUUAGCAGCUCACUUAAAAUUCUUCUCAGGCUUCCAUGGGAGAUCAAUGCAGUGAUACUAGCUGAUACAUUUGAAAAUUACAAAAGACAUGAAGAUCGCUUGAUAGCAGAAUUUGCGAGGCAGUUUCUUGACUCCGUCUCCUGCAGCAGCUUGGAUAUGAAUCAAAUGAUCAAAUGGAUAGAUCGCCAACACCCGAGAAAGUAUGUGCAUAUGCAAGUUCUUCUUUUCACAAUUGAAGAUACACUGAAACUGAUAUUUUUUUUCACUCCAAGUUUGAAUCUUUAGAGUGGUUUGAUCUAUCAAUUAUCUUUUUCCUUUUGUUCUUGCAGAUUUGGGAAGGUCUUGGAAGGAGAAGUGGAAAUGUGUCGGAAAAUUGCGCAGGAGACAGGAGUUUUAGUGGAUCCAAUGUAUACUUUAGCUGCUUGGGAGACAGCAACAGAGCUAGUGCUCGACGAGAAAUCGAGCAUUGUAGUGAUGCUUCACACUGGAGGCACUCUAGGGAUGUUUGGUCUUGCUCAAAGAUACAAAUCUUGCUUCACUAACUUGAAAGAUUAGGAUACAAUUUCCAAGACUUAGAGUCAGAAAUAUAAAGAUGGUUAGUUUUAUCUUGUAACUUCAAUUAUUUGUUUUGGAUUCGGUUUUAGCAAACCUAGAAUUGAACUCUAACCAAAAUAAUUUCGGUUCGGUUAUAUUGAAAUUUUGUUCGCUCAGUGUUUGGUUUGGUUUGGUUUUGUAUGUACGGUUCCCGAAAAGAAUCAUACUUGUAGAACAAAUAAGAAAAUUUAAAUACGUUUUUAGUUGUAGAAAAUGCGAGAAACGGAAGCAAACGUGGUAAGCAAGAAGAAGUGGUAAUAAGUAAAUUAUUAUUUUUACCUGAAACAAAAAAAAUAGCUAACGAAAACCAAGAUUAUGGUUUUUGGUCGUUGGUAUUUGGGGAGUCUUCUUCUCGAACCGAGAUGUUCAUGUGCACGUGCGUUUGGUCACUACUUCGUGUUUAACAAAACACUUUCCUUCACUAUACUAAUAUCCACAUUAAACAAUAGUAUUGCUUUUUAAAGAUCUUUGAUUCUUAUAUCAUUAAACCUUUUUGUAUGAAUUUUAUUUAAUGGUCUUGUGAAUGUGUAAUGUACCCUCCUCCUUGGACUCGCGAAAAUAAUGUAUCCUUAAGUCUUUUUUUUUUUAAUUUUUUUUUUUUUUUUGGUGCAACCAAAGAGUUACGUCUCUAGCUAACUUUUAACCAAAAAUAGUAAGUCUCGAACUAGCUAUUGCCAGACCUUAAAUGUUUUGGAGAUUAGACACACUAGAUAUAUUGAUUUUGGAGAUACAAAAGGGAGAAAAAAAAAACAAAGCAGAAAAGCUCAAUUGAGAGAAAGUCUCAUGAGGACAAAAAAACAUUAUUGAGUACAAAGUUUAUGAGUACUAGCAGCAGCCAAACCCUAAGCUACCUUUUGUGGUGAGCUAUAUACCCAAGUGUUUACGUGAAUUUGGUUUUGCUCUUAUGUUUUGAUCCUUGACCUCAAUUCAAGAAGUUUUAUGCCCCCACUAGGCCACUACUCUACCGAUCUUUUACAUUAUCAAAUAAGAUUUAGACCCCAAACUUAAGCUUUGCUUGCUUAGCUCCAAGGCCAGCUUUGGUUACUAUUUUCUUUUUUUAUGUCUACAGAAUUAGUAGCUGGUAUCCAUACCGUUUGAUUGAUAAUUUAUAGUCGAUGCGGUUGAAGUUCAGCUGUUUCAAAGAUUACUAAUCAAUGGAAUAAUUUUUACGAUAAAUAGAGCAAGUUUAUUGAAACAAUGCCUACAUGCGGUAAAAAUAUUUUUAUAGGCGGUGAAGGUUACUCAUUGUUUAAAAAAUUGCUUAAAUAAUGUUUGUCAAUCGAAAAACAUUUGUUUUUUUUAAAAAUCGCAUCUCUUAUUCUAUAACCGCUUAAGUAUUCUUCAUAUGAUUACGACAUUGUAUUAACAUAUUAUAAAUAAUAAGAAGACAAAAAGAAAAACUAACAGACAAUGAAGAAGUGAGAUUCGGAGUACGAAUACGAUAUUAUAUAUAAUAUAUAUAACAUAUUGCAAAUCAAGAGUAAGACAAAAGAAAAUUUAACAAAACAAUCAAAAAGUAAAAUUGUCCGAUAAGGUCCAUAACAAAUUUUUCCUUGUCAAUUUCUCAGUCUCACUAAUCACAUUCAAUUACUAGCUUUUUUUUACACAGUUUCAAAUACGGAGUAUAUACUAAAAAAUAAAAUCUGCAGAAACGAAAAAUAAAUUUUCCACGUACUCAGUAUUCGUGUCGCGUAGGGACUUUUAUUUAUUACGCCUCGUAAAACCAAGAACCCAAAGCCUACAACAAAAAGGGAAUAGGGGUAUUAACGUAACUUCCCACAAACGGAUACUAAUAAUAAAUCCGAUUUAACGUAAAAACAGUCAUUUUCGAGAAACUUAAAUGCUUACAACACAAAAAUAAUAAAAUAAAAAUAAACAUUUGUUCUCUUCCACUGUCUUGUCUGUAAUAAGAGCAAAGACAGAGAGAGACGACGUUACAGUAUCUCUCUCUCUCACACGAUCAAGAAAACUUCAUCAUUCGUCGGAAAAUAUCAUCUCCGGUAUUAAUGGAAGAUUCUAGACUUUUUCCGUUCGCCGGAAACUUAGACCCUCGUGCUCAAGAGUUUAUACCACUUAACCCUACCUCCUCCGGUUUUUACUUCCCGUUCACUCCUCCUUCACCGCUUCCUCCGCCGUUACAUCCGUCGUCGGAGCCAAGAGUUUUCACAUUCUUCAACAUCCCACCACAUCCGGUGAUGUUUUCUCCUCCUCCUUCUCAACCACCACCAUCACCACCACCGCGUCCGUGUUUUAACGGCGUUUCGGCAGCUCAACGACUUCCUCCGCCGUCAAAUUCUCCGACGCGAUCUCUCUCAUUGAUCUCCGUACCGCGUGACGUCACCGAGUCUACAGUGAGACGUGACUUGGAGGUUUACGGCGACGUUCGUGGCGUGCAAAUGGAGAGAAUCUCUGAAGGAAUCGUGACCGUCCAUUUCUACGAUAUCCGUGACGCUAAAAGAGCGGUUCGAGAAGUUUGUGGUAGACACAUGCAGCAACAAGCCAGAGGUGGAAGCGUUUGGAGCUCACCUUCUACUUCAUCGGCGCGUGGGUUUGUUUCCGGUAGACCUGUGUGGGCUCAGUUCGUAGUUCCGGCCACUAGCGCCGUUCCCGGAGGUUGUAACCAGGGAACGUUAGUUAUAUUUAACUUAGACCCUGAAGUCUCUUCCAUUACUCUCAGACAGUUUUUCCAAGUUUACGGUACGGUUUUUUUUUUUGUCUUGAUUUAGUUUAGUAUGUUUCCUCGAUUUGUGGAUAUGUCAGGAAUUAAAACAUUUUUCAAAGACUUAAAAAUGUUAAGCUAUGAUAUAAAUUACAUUAUUAUUUACAUGAAUAAUGGGUUAAUUGUUUGCAUGCUAUAUUGAACAUCAUUAGCUUUUGAAUAUAGAUAAGAUUGGACAGUUUGUUUAUGUGCGAGUCUUUAUUUCAGGUCCGAUCAAAGAGUUGAGAGAGACACCGUACAAGAAACAUCAAAGGUUCAUUGAGUUUUAUGAUGUAAGAGAUGCGGCGAGAGCGUUUGAUCGAAUGAAUGGUGAAGAGAUCGGUGGGAAGCAAGUUGUGAUCGAAUUUAGUCGACCUGGUGGAAUUAAGAACAAGUUCAGGUCAUCUAGGCAACCGCAGCUACCGUUUCAACCGCUUCAACAGCCACCAAUUCUAUUUCCUCCUUUGAGGCGGCCAGUAACUCUCAUGAAAGAUAAAAACAAGAAUGUGAGCCCUAAAAAUGGAAUUAUUGCUGUUGGUGCUUCUAUGCGUUCGUUAUGUAUCAUUGGUGAUGACGAUAAUAAGACCCGAGGAACGGAAUCCGAAUGUGCGGAGACAAAGAGCAAGAAUGUGGCUAAGUGGGGGAAGAAAAGACAGAUGAAGAACAUGGAACUAAGUCAGUUUCUUAUCAGUGAAGAAACCAUGGAAGAUCCGAGUUGCAGAGAUCCACGUACUACUUUGAUGAUCAAGAACAUACCAAACAAGUACAGGUUGGGCUUUAUAAUCUAAUUUAUUUAGUAUUAUAUAAUUUGGAAGUUUUUCAAUGAUUCUCUAGGAAACUAAAGACUAAAUCUUUCAAUAAAAUAUUUAUUUGGAUUUAAAGUUUGAAGCUUUUUCACACUCUAGGAUGACUAAAGAUUUAGAUCUUUCAUUAAAAUAUUCACAUGGAUUCGUGUGCUAUAUUCAAAGGUUUAUAUUCUAGAUAAAAUUCUCCAAUGUUAUGUUCCAUCGAACUUUUAAUUAUAUUCUUGUUUGAUCAUACCUUAAUUGACUAACAUUUUUCCUUGAGAUUCUUGUAGGUUUUUUAUUUAUGAGAUUCCAUGUGAUUUUUUCUAAGGUUUCGUGUUUUUGUUCUAUAUAGUCAAAAGCUACUCUUGGAUAUGCUAGACAAUCAUUGCAUUCACAUCAACAAAGCAAUCACCGAGGAGCACGAUGAACAUGAGUCUCAUCAUCAGCCGUAUUCUUCUUAUGAUUUCGUGUAUCUCCCCAUGGAUUUCAAGUAAUCAAACAUCGAUAUUCAUUUGACAUAUAGAAUCGGUUAUAUUUAUGGUUAAAAUCAUAACUCUUUUCUUUGUUGUGAUAUCAGCAAUAAGUGCAAUGUUGGUUAUGGGUUUGUGAACAUGACAUCUCCGGAAGCAGCUUGGAGGUUUUACAAGGCGUUUCAUCAUCAACGUUGGGAGGUUUUUAAUUCGCGUAAGAUUUGCCAGAUCACAUAUGCAAGAGUUCAGGUAUAAUAUACACAUUAGUGUUUUGAAAUCACAAAAUUACAUAAACUUUACAUGCUCUAGUUAACCCUCAAAUUAAUAUGCAAACGCAUGGAAGUUGCACUAUCUCCAUAUAUAUCAAAUUUUAAGCUAUACGUCAAACCAAAGUCUUGAUUUUACGAUAGCUUUGAUUAUUUGGUCACAAUGUGUUUAUUUUGUUACAUUUGAUCGUCAACAAAGGGUUUGGAGGAUCUAAAGGAACACUUCAAGAGCUCUAAGUUUCCGUACGAGGCUGAGCUAUACCUGCCAGUGGUCUUCUCGCCUCCACGAGACGGGAAGAGGUUAACAGAACCUGUCUCCAUCAACAUCAACGGCUGCACCAGACUUAAUCAUCUUGAGCGAAUGGACGGUCAAGAUCACUCUCUGAGUAGAUCAUAUUGUGAUAGUGACCAUGAUAAUAGUCACGAAGAUGGAUUUUCCGGCAGUAGUAGCAUAGACUGUGGCCGGUGUAUCACAUUGGAAGGAGAAACAUCUUUCUAGGUGUUAUUUGUAAUGUGUAUCAUCAUAAGAUAUAAAAAGUGUAAGUAGACAUAUCAUAAUCUUGGUUAGAAAUUGUACCUUUUUUUUUUUUUUCUUUGGUGUGUAGAAAUUGUACCUUUUUGUUUGUCUGUUUGAUUCUAAAGUUCUAUUUGGUUAUCAACAUGAAUUAAAUCACUCAAGCAAAGUUCUUUUUGGUUAUCAUCAACAUGAAUUAAUGACUCCUGCACAGUUCUAAAAGGUCACAUCUAUAUAACUCUUUUCUUUUCUUUUCUUUUCUUUUCUUUGGUAUAAAGAAAGUAGUAAUAUUUGGAUUUAUGUUGAUAUUUUAAAAUAGGGAUAUAGAAUUGAUAGGAGACUAAAAUUGGGUUGACCUAGGGUAAGAGUUCUUUUUCAGGCAAUACUAUCUUUGUUCUAGAGUUAGCUGUCUUAUUCAGUGACCUGUGAAAGGGACAAUAGAAGACUCUGUGCUAGUGAUGAUCACAUUCUGUAUCUCCCUCUGAUUCAUGGGGCACUGACACGUGGUUUGAUAUCCACCUUACUUGGUGCAUGGCAGAGUUGAUAGUGAUCGUUGACUACAACUUUAAUCUUUUCGUGUUAGACCAUCAGCAGUGGCAAAUGUGUUUGUGUGGGUGUAAGUAUUUUUUUAGUAUUAUAAUUUAAAGCAAAAGAGAAAAGAGAAAGAAAAAGAAAGAGAGAGAUAGAAAGAAAAAAUGUUACACCCGAGUGUAAACUUACACCCAGGUGUGAAGAGAGAGACAAUUUUUUCGUUUUUUUAAUACCUACACCCCAAGACUCACACCCACCUGCUUACCCACUGCCCAAGCUCUUAGAGAUAUCUUUAGUUUUAAAAUUUUGGUUCUUCAUUGAAGGGUUCUUGUUAUGAAAUAUUAAAGUUCGAUUUAACCUUGAAAAUCAUUCCUAGGGUAUUAAUUGAAAGAUUUAGGAUGUGACUGCAAAAGGGAUUUUAAAACUUUAAUAAAAGGUUUUACAACAUUACUGAAUCAUUCUUUUACCGGUCAUAUAUUUGUAAGAGUUGUAGAUAAGAUCCACUAAAAGUUUAAAGUCUCUAUCAGAAUAAAAAAAGAUUUGGUACGUAUCAAUUGAAUUCUGUAGCAAUUGUUGUAACAACAACCUCAAGCAAAUAACUUAUAUUUAUUCGUUAUUACUAAAAUCCAAUGAGUGCAAGGAGUUUUUUUUUUUUUUUUGGGCCAAACAAAAGUAAAAAUCAUCUUGAAGAAGAUAGAUUUCGUAUUAAUUGACCCCAAAAAAAGACUAAUUUCGUAUUUAAUAAAUGAAUUUUGUUUUCUGUAAAUGCAUUUUCAAUAUUGGUGCUCGUCUUCCUUUAACAAAACUGGAAAAAAGUGGCCCAAACUCCAUACUUAUCAAAGAGAUCCAAAUUUUAACCAAAUGUUGAUAAUGAUGUUUCAUAACAUUAUGGGCCUAAAAAAAGCCCAUUAACGACAUUUCCCUAAUUUUGACCUCUCUCUCUAUAAAAGCAAGUCCCUCUAAACCCUAGUUCUUUAAAAUCCCAGUCAAAUCUCCGUAGCCGUCACCAUUACCCCUAACAUCUUCCUCUCCAUAGUUUACGAUUGAUUUCAAUUCUUGUUUUUUUUGUUAAGUCUUUGACAAAUGUUUCUUUAGAUCGCUUUCGAAAGGCGUUGCGCUCUUCGUCAUAGGGUUUUUGUAACCCUGAAGGGCGUGUCACCGAAAGCGUAUAAUCAAAAAUCUUCAAUACGAUUCGUUUAGGAUUUUGCGAAUUCGGAUUCGUUCGAAUUAACAAAUUACCUAAAGAUCCGAUGGCUUCUUUUGUAUCCAUCGAUUCAUCGUAUUGGGAAAUUUCGAAUCUAAAGUUUAGAUCUGUAAUGUUUUUUGAAAUUGUGAAAAUUGCUUCAUAAUGGUGAACUCUCUUAGAUUAUACAAAGUGAGAGAUGUUCAAGUUUCCGGAGCAAAUAUUAACCUGGCCAGAAUUUAACAGCUCUGUGUUUAAAUUUUACUAUUUUCACAGUGUUACCUGUCUUCUGGUAUAUUUCACUAAUCUCAUUUUUGAGAUUCGAAAUUGAACAAAUAAACAUAUGGGCUUUGGAUUGAUUCUUAGGCCCGAUUUUUUGGUAAACGGCUUAUUGAAAUAGUGUUAUAAAGGUUAAAAACCAUACCAAAAUUUGGCUAAUCAGCAAAACUAAAUUCUAAUCCCGCCAUGCACCGAAAAAAUUCUAGACUGAAAUAAUACAGUCUGUGGUUUUCCGGUGCCUUGUGAGAUUAGAGUUUUAUCUUGUGAAUUUGCUUAAGGAGUUAUUUUUUUACUAUUUCAAUUAUAAUUUUGUGAAUUAUCCAAAGUGAAAAUUGAAAAUUGAUAAAUUAAACUAAAAUGAAUAAAAUCUGAGUCUAAAUUAUGCAAGGAUAAUUUUUGUUAUAAACUGAUCCAGGACAACAAAUGACUCCAUAUCAAAGAGACUUAAGAUUUGGCAAAUUUUGCAUUUGUAGCUUUGUUCUACGAGUUCUUUACGACACUAACCUAACAACACAUACCAUUUGCAUUUUCAACCUCAAAUAUAACGUUACGUGUACGUCAAGAAAAAACGUUUGUUCUUGAAAUAGACCAAUACCCUAAAACUGAGUCCAUAAGCAAAAAAGCACCGAACGCAUGAUGAAUCCUCUCUUUGAAUCUUCGAUUUACAUAUCUUUACGAAACAUAAACAUUAAACUUUGAAAUCCAAUCUUCAAUGUUUAUAGACUUACUACAAAAUAGAGUCACUGAGCAACAAAUUACAAAAAAUGUCUGACUUGUCAUUGAUAGAUCGCAUUUCUACUCAUCUUUGUCUUCAAGAUGUAUCUAUUGCGUUGUUAGGUUUAUUCCUUUUUGGUUGCUUGCAAGCCAAGCUAACCAACAAAGGUGGACCAGUGCAAUGGCCUGUGUUUGGGAUCACUCCCGAGUUCUUUCUUCAUGUUCACGAUGUGUUCGGAUGGGUUACACGGUGUUUGACGAAAAGUCGAGGAACGUUUCCUUACCAAGGAAUCUGGUUUAGUGGAUCUUAUGGAGCUAUGACUAGUGUUCCUGCAAACAUUGAAUACAUGCUCAAAACCAAUUUCAAGAACUUCCCUAAAGGAGAGUUUUACAAAGAGAGAUUCCGCGAUUUACUCGAAGAUGGUAUUUUCAAUGCGGAUGAUGAAUCUUGGAAAGAGCAGAGGCGGAUUAUCAUAACUGAGAUGCAUUCGACUCGCUUCGUCGAUCAUUCUUUUCAAACGACGAGAGAUUUGAUACAGAGGAAGCUCUUGAAAGUGAUGGAGAGUUUUUCCAAGUCACAAGAAGCUUUUGAUCUUCAAGAGAUUCUUUUAAGGUUAACGUUUGAUAAUAUCUGCAUCGCGGGUCUUGGAGAUGAUCCGGGGACUUUGGAUGAUGAUCUUCCCCACGUUCCAUUCGCUAAAGCGUUUGAAGAAGCAACAGAAUCUACUCUGUUUCGGUUCAUGAUUCCGCCAUUUGUGUGGAAACCGAUGAAGUUUUUUGAUAUAGGGUAUGAGAAAGGGCUGAGGGAAGCGGUUGAGACGGUUCACAAGUUUAUCGACAAGAUGGUUGUCGAGCGAAUCGCGAUGCUUAAGGAUGAAGGAACAUUAGCGAAUAGCAAAUCCGAUGUCCUCUCGAGACUAAUCCAGAUCGAAAGUCAUAAAAGAGGAGAUGAAAAUGAUAGAUUCACCAUUAAGUUUUUCAGACAGUUCUGUACAAGCUUUAUCUUAGCGGGACGAGACACGAGUUCAGUCGCGCUUACUUGGUUCUUCUGGUUGAUAACAAAACACCCUGAAGUCGAAACCAAGAUCCUCCACGAAAUCAGAGAAAUCUUGAGCCAAAGAGGACAUAACAACAAUAAUCUUGAAACUGGAGAAACAGAGAGGGGUUGUCACUUCACAGUCAAAGAACUAAACGAUAUGGUUUAUCUACAAGCAGCAUUGUCAGAAUCUCUUAGACUCUAUCCACCAAUUCCAAUGGAAAUGAAACAAGCGACCGAGGAAGAUGUGUUUCCUGAUGGAACUUUCUUGAGAAAAGGCUCACGGGUUUACUUCUCAGUCUAUGCAAUGGGAAGGAUGGAAUCAAUUUGGGGAAAAGACUGUGAAAUGUUCAAACCAGAGAGAUGGAUACGAGGAGGGCAAUACGUUAGUGAUGAUCAGUUUAAAUACGUCGUGUUCAAUGCCGGUCCAAGACUUUGUUUAGGGAAAACAUUUGCUUACUUGCAGAUGAAAAUGGUGGCUGCUUCAAUCUUGUUGAAUUACUCAAUCAUGGUUGAUCAAGAUCACGUUAUUGUUCCCCGAGUAACAACUACUUUGUAUAUGAAACAUGGUCUUAAGGUCAGGAUUAUACCGAGAUCUCUAGAGGAGAAGAAGCAAGAUUCAUAAAUAAUAUAGAAGAUAAAACAGCUAAACUCUGAAGUUGUUACUAAAAUAUCUGUUUAUAUAUGGCUAUUGUAAGAUCUUCACCCUUCUAAAAUUAGAUUAGGCACAUAAUUAAUCUUUGUUAGUAAAAUGUACAGUGUGUAUUAUGUGUAAUGCGGAUCAAAUGUUAUACAAAGCAAAUAAUUGCAAUCAAAAGGUACUUGUCUUGGAGUAUGGACUAAUUUGAAGAAAAGGUUUUGGUUUCGACCGCCUUCUCGUGCUAGUAACAAGCUUAAACCACUGGCUUCUCGGAUCGCAACUCGAGUUUCCUAGUAAACAUUUGCAGCUGUUCGUCACAAUGUUGUUAUUGUUCGAAUCCACAUCCAAACAAAUAGAUACUCCAUUCUUUGUUAUCGAAGAGAGUUGCAUCUUCGAGUCAGACAAAAGCUUCCAUUUCGAACAGUAAGAAUCUGAGAAAAACAGACGUAGCUUCACAGACUUUCCGUCCUCAUAAGCUUUUAAACAGAGGAUUUUUUCUUCUGUUAGUGAUAAAACUCGAUGAGAAGAAAGUUUCCAGCUUUCUGAUCUAUUGCAAGAACCAAGCUUUAGUUGAAACAAUGAUUUUCUUACAAUGCAAAGUCCAGUUGAAGGAUGGAACAUUAUUUUCUUUGGUUGUGUUUCCAUCAGACCUGGUCCUGAAUAUUGCAAAGUUGUUUAAAUUUUGUCACUAAUCAAGAAAUCAAAUAAAACAAAUUUUAAGUUUGAAAAACAAUUUGUGUACCUUGAAAAGGAGACUGUAUUGCAGAAAUCAUCUGCAAAAUGGUUGAGUUCCUUAUGCUUGACCAAUUCCAAUCCAAAACUCCAUAAGUUUCAUCUGUUCCAAUAGUUUUCUCCCUUAUAUAAUAACUUCCUGCAAGAGUCCAUAGUGACCAAUCUAGAUCAAGAUCAGCUGCUAAAGCCAUAAAACAACUUAGAAACUUAUUGUCAUUUGCAUUAUUCCCUCUUUGAUCAAUCCCAAACUCGCUCACAAACAACGGAACCCCUUUCUCGAGCAAAAACCCCGACAUUUUCAUCAUCUUUUCGGUUUCUUUCCCGCAAAUCUUGUUCAAGUUAUCUCCUUCCAAAGAAUUCCAAAACCCAUACCAAUGUAUCUCAAACACCAGUUUCCUCCUAAAGCUAACUUCAAAAGGUCUGUCUCGGAGAAACGAUAAGUCAGUAGCGUCCACACAUGUCCAACCCGAUCCGACCCAAAGAUGGUCCAAUCAUCGACAAGGCCCAAAUUGAUGCCGUCGAUCUAAGCCCGAACAUUCCGAGAUUAAUGGCCAAAGAGCCAUCAUCUCGAGGGGGCGUAUUAGGACAUAAUGUCCUACAUCGGAAGUUGGAAGGGAUCCUAAGUAAUAUAUAAGGGAUAUGGGCCACUCCACUCAUAGCCAAUUGGUUUUGAGUUGGAAGCCCAUAUUCUAAUAUAAUUUAAACCCGAGACAAUAACAAGAACAUCCGGAUUCAUUGAGUGGACCGCUUCAGCGCCCUUUCUCAUAUACGUAUACCAAUCUUUAAUGUUCUGUUUAGGACCUCUAAGUUCAUUCCUUAGACACAUACCAACCACAUUUGAUGAAACAUUAGCAAACAUUGAUGCCAUUUUCUUUAACCCUUUGAUCCAAACUUGAGGGUUUAAAUGUUUAUCGCCGAAAAACCCAUUUCCAUCAUUGUCACUACAACACCAACCAGGUUGGCUUAUGUGAUUGUCUAAUAUCACCAUUACUCUAUGCUUUCCAAGACAAGACACUACUUCCUGUUUAAGAGAAAUAACAACAAAGUUCUCAUCUUUCUUAAUCCCAAGAAGAAGAUAGAAAAGUCAAAAUCUUUGGGGGAAAAUUCUGAAGAAAGGUAAAAACUUUGACUUUUGUUACCUGGAAAGCUUUGAUUAGAGGAAGAUCAAGAAUCGUUGGAUUAUGAGUUUGAAAACCAGAAACAGCUUCAAGAAGACGAAACUUGCGAAGAGAUUGUCUCACAGUCAUAAUAUCAGAGAAAGAUUCAUCAGUGGCUAAGUAGAGAGGCCAAGUCAAUCUAACACAAUUGAAACCCAUUGAGACGAUCUUCUCGGCGAUCGAGUCCAAUGACUGCUUGCUUAACCCUUCCGCCACCGCGGUUUCUAGAUGCGACGGCCAGUUGACGCACGUGAGCUUCACGCGACGACCUUUGUUGCCGUCGUCGACGAUCCAGCGUGAGUCGGUGGAGAGAGGGAAAGCGAAAGUGGUGAUGACGUAAGGAAGAAGAAAGACAGAGAUGAAGAAGAAUUUUUCCAUUUGGUUGUCUCUCUGUUUCAUCCAACCUCUUUCUUUAAUAAUGUCCGUAUCAUAAAAACAUUUAAUUUUCACCAAAUUAGUUUUAAUAAAUUAACUAAUACAAAAUAUCACUUUUUCAAAUGUCCAAUCUGUAUAUUUUGCAGCAUAAUUAUUUUUUUCAUCAUAUAUUAAAAUUUUAUUUGGGUUUGUCACAUCGCAUAAACAAGGUUUAACAUAUAAUAGCGUAAUAGCAUCAUAUAUUAGAUUUAACAUAUAAUAACAAGGUUUACAACUUUUAUAAGUUACUUAAUCGCGUUAUUUAUAUAUGAGAUGAAUAAUAUAUAUAUUUAAACCUCAUUAUUUACGAACUUUAACAAUCUUAAACCACUGACUUAUCGGAUCACACGAGCUGUCUUCGCCCUUCACACACUUGCAGUUACUAGCGAUGAGGUUAUUGGAUUCAUCCACGUCAAGACAAAGCGAGUUAUUAGUUGAUUUCGCUGCUAAGAGCAUAUUAGAGGCUGAAAUAGUCUCCCAUUUUGACAAAUUAGGGCUUGAGCAACUCGCUUCACUGAGCUUAACCGGCGCGUUGGGCCCAGUGGUUUCUAAGCAUAGAGACUUGUCUUUGAGUGUCAGCAGGGUGUUCUCAGGAGUGUAGCUCCAUGGUUGAGAUUCAUUACAUAGACCGAGAGUGACCUUGGUUGGAUCUAAGAUACUUUGUAGCAUGCAAAGUCCGGUUAACGGGUGGAAAACAAGAUUGUAGACUUUGGAUUGAGAGCCCGGUCCUGGUAAACCAAGUCAGGAAUAGUGAGAUGUUAAUUAAUUAUAGCAGCUAACAUCCACCUUAAAUGAAUAAAGUUACAAAAUCUAGAAAAUCCUUGUACUUAAUAAUUACGCAAAGUUAAUUAAACAUGACCCUAUAUAUUUUUAAAUCUGAUAGUAUACACUUGUAUUGUGUAUUUGAAUUGUAGGUGACAAAAAAAUCUAAUGGUCGGUAAACUAGCCACCAAAUUUUGAUUUUAUACUUGGUGACGAUUGUGAAGUCUAAAAUAAGGCCCGGCUCAAUAUUUUAUUGGAUCAUGUGCUACAAACGAAAAAUGGCUCUCUUUAAAUCUUUAAAUCUAAAAAAAAUAACCUCCAUAACAUGUGUUUACUAUAUUCUUCUUUUAAACCUAUUAUUUUGCUCGCCGUUUUCUCUAGUUUUUUUCUAAACAAAAAAAAAAUCUACAAAUUAGAACACUAAAAAUUAAAAAAAAAUAUGAGGACCCUGUGCCUUGGCACCCAUGGACACUACGGCACUACCCUAGAGCCGGGCCUGUAUUAGUCUAAUGAUUUCAAGUGAUAAAAUAAAUUUGUGUAUCAAAAACAUAUAAAAUAUACCUUGAAGCGGGGAUUGAAUCAGAGACAAUCUUUGCAAGAAAUUUUGGCUUCGAACACGAACCCAAUCCGAAUCUAAGAUACCGUAAUACUCGCUCAUUCCGACCACACCUUCUCUGAGAUAAUAACUUCCUUGAAGUGUCCAAAUCGACCAAUCUACGUCAUUUUCCGCUGCCCAACCUAAUAUACAUCCGAUAUACCGAUUAUCGUUAACAUUUUUGCCUCUCAAGUCAAUUCCAAACUCACUAAGAAACACCGGGAAGUCACGGAGGUUGAAACCGCCCCCGUUCUCUAUGCUUUGCAGAAUCUCGCCGCAUGCCUCGUUAGGGUUUUUGGAACUCCAUGUUUUUGUGUUGGUGAAAGAGUAUCGAUGGAGCUCGAACACGAGUUUUCUACUGAAAGUUAGGUUUACAGGUCGUGAUCGGACAAAUGAGAGGUCGGUAUCGUAGCUGAGGCCAGACAGGAUUACAAGUACAUUAGGGUUUGCUUCGUGAACUGCCUCGGCCCCUUGUUGCAUGUACCUACAUGAAUAUACGCAUGAGAAAAAAAGAAAAAAAAAAAAACACAUGAGACAAAUAAAUAUACAUCUUAAUCUUACUUAGUUCUUAACCAAAUAUAUAUAUGUGUAUAUAUUUAUAUGUUUAGAAAACAACAUAUUUAAAAUAAAUUAUCACUAGUAACAUAUUAAUAUAUGCAGUGGCGGAGGUAGCAUAGAAACAUGGGGGUCAACUGACCCCGGUGAAUUUUCAAAAUCAAACUAAUAUUAUGGCAUAUUUAAACAAAUACAUAGAUAUUUGAUUAAAUUCCUAUAAAUUGACCCCAGUGCCCAAUAUGAAAACUACUCUUUUGACCCCUUAAACCAUAACUUUUUUAAUAUUACAAAAUGAUAUAGACUAUAACCACUAAUUGUUAUAUAUAAGUUUCUUUGUUUUUAAUUUUAUUAUCAUGUUUUAGACAAACCAAAUGUUUUUAUAAAUAUCAGAAUUUCAUUUUUGUAAAUGUAAUAAAAAAAACAUAAGCUAUAUGCAAUAUAAUUUGAAGAAAAAAAACAACCACACUUUAUUAAAAUAUUUUUUAUAUUUUGACCCCGGUAAAUUUAAAUUCUAGCUCCGCCACUGAAUAUAUGCCCACUAAAUCACUGAUAAUUUUUUAUUACGACGUAGCUAGACAAAUAUAUUCUAAAAUUAUAAACUAUAACACACACGAUACUUCCAUUUUUGUUUUGGUCAGACGAAGUAAUUAGUAAUCAUUGGGGGGCUGUUGUAGACUGUUGCUAUAAAAUUGACUAGAGGUACUUUGAUUUUUGUAUACUAUAGUCAUAGCAUAAAACUUAUGUGCCACUUGUUAUUGGCUUUAGGAAAAACAAAAAAAAAAAGGAAAAAUUAUGAAAUUUCUAAUUUGAUUGAUAAAUUUUGUUUUCUGUAAAACUGUAAUGUAAUUAAAGUCUUUAACCCCCAAAAGUCACUUAAAGUGACAUACUUUAACUAGUGUCCAUUUCCUUCUUCUUAUAGUUGUACUUUUUUCAUUAAAAAAAGAAACUUUUAAUGUAACGUAUGCCACUGCACUGAAGGUUAAAAAACUGAUUUUAAUAUUACAGAAUAGCGAUCUCUUACACACACACACAUGCAACGAAUUGGGCAAACAUGAAAAAGGCACUUAAAAGUAAUACGUGCAAGAGAUGGCCGCUAGUUGUGUGUUGUUUUUUCUUUCUAUGUAACCGUUAAGUAAUUAAUGCAAUUUAAGUUAAACCAAUUAUAUAGAAAUUAAAAAGUCAAGUGCGAAUAGGUUAUACAAAUGUACGUACUUGAACCAAUCGUCGACGUUUUGUUUUGGUCCUCUAAGUUCAUUUCUGAGGCUCAUGCCAACGACAUUGGAGGCACCUUUAAAAGUCGUGGCUAUCUUGAUCAGACCGGAGAUCCACGUGGCAGGGUCAAAGAAAGUGUCGCCAAAGAAACCGUUUCCGUCGUUGUAGCCACAGCACCAUCCUGGCUUGGUCACGUGGUUGUCUAAUAUCACCAUCACAUUUUUGUUUCCCAACUUAGCUACUACCUUCUGCAAAAAUGAAAAAAAAAAAGAAAACGAAGAUUUUUGUUUUCAUCCGAAAUGAGUGAUUUUUAGGGUUGAAAGCUAUAGUCAAAGGAAAUCCACAUCUUUUUCUCUUUCUUUUUAAAUACAUCUUUGUAUAUUAUUUUGUUUGUGUAUGUUAUGAUCAAAAUCUUUUCUAAUUUUACUUUUUAUUUUCAUAACGGGUCUCCGAACCAUUAGAUUACCUGAUUACCACUCUGGGAUUUAUAUAUGCAAACACUAAUCAAAACCACACAAUUUUUUUUUUCUGGACUAAAUCAAUUAGCUAGUAAUUUCAUGAAAAGAACAAUAAAAAGGAAAAAUUACAAAAAUUGUAGUGAUUGUUAUUUAAACAUUAUUUUGGCAGCUAUUUAAAACGUUAUUUAAUAGUAUUUGUUUUUUUACAUCUAAAUCAAACUGAUAUUUGUUAAUAUCUAAAUUUACAAAGAUACGAGUUUUUUAAAUAUAAUUUAUAACUUGAAACCAUAAUAGUAAGCAUAAAUUAGAUUUAUUACCAUACACAAUAAAUUGGACACUAGCAUACCUUGUAAGCUUCAAUGAGCGGAAGAUCAAUCAUGGACGGGUUCUUUGUUUCGAAACCAGAAAUGUCAUCAUUAAGACCAAGACUUUGAAAAGAUUGUCUCACAGUAACAUUAUUAGCCAACGUCUCAUUUGUAGCUAGAUCAAGUGGCCAAGUUAACCUUACACAGUUGAAACCCAUUGCCACUAUCUUCUUGGCCAAGUCAUCUACUCCCUGCUUGCUCAGCCCUUCCGCCACCACAGGCUGCAAAUGCGAUGGCCAAUUCACACACGCCAGCUUCACUCUUUGUCCUUUUUCGUCGAUGAUCCAACGAGAGUUUGUAGAGAGAGGAUAUGCCAUGUUCUUUGUGGUGAAGGAGAAAAAUGAGAAGAAGAUGAUGAAGCAAAACAUGCGUCUUAGCUCUUUUGUUGUCUUCAUGUUAAAUGUAUUUAGAAAACUUUUGGGUGUUUGUUUUUUUUGUUUGGUGUUGGUGAAUCAUUUCGAAGAGACGUAUAUAUAUAUAGAAAUGAUUUAGAAGUAAAGUCGAAAUCAUUUGUUGUAUUUAGGCUAAUAAGCUCUUUCGUGAUUUGGAAGGAAAACAAGCUUGGAAUCAUGAAAUAAAGUUUUUAACUUUAAGGGUUCAAACACAACAUAUAAACCGUAGGAUUGAUCGCUUAUGUUAAUGACCUAACAAUGACGUCAACGCUAUAUAUAAUAACUUUUGUAGUUAAAUUUAGCUCAGUAAUUAUAUUGGAUCCAAGUCAUUGACUGACAUUUGGAGAUUAAUAGACUAUUCACAACCAAACUGAAAAUCAGAUUGAUUUAAUUUACCGUGCAAAAGCAAGCUAAGAGGAUGAUUACUAGUAAGGUCGAUAACUUUCUUUUUUCCUUUUCUAUAAGACAGGAAUAGUAUGACUUAAAAUCUCUUUUAUUGGUACGUCUGGAAGAUCAUGUGGAUCCAAUCAAUGGAAAUUUGACUUUGGAAACUUCACCUGUCUAUUGAAUUUUGAGAAAUUGGGUGAAAAAAUCUUAGAAUAGUGCAUUAAUUAGUCAAAUAACACAUAUUGGGACAAAAUGAUAUAUUGUGAUGUGUUAGGACAAAAACACCACUUGUGAGACUUUGAGAUAUGUCUCCCUUACGUGGCUUUCUCCCCCUUUUGCAUUCCCUUUUUUUCUUCAUCUUUUUUACCCCAAUUUAAUCUCCUUUUUUUUUAAUAGUUUUUCGUCCUCAUUUUUAAUGAUUGAAUAUCUCAUCAUAUAUUAAAAAAAAACAUAUUUUCGUAUAUGUUAUGAUUGAAAAUUUGAAAGAUGUACAGAAGUUAAUUUGAAUUGAGUAAUUGAAUAUUGUCAAAAAAAGUUUUUAUAGAAUACCUUGUUAUAACUGGUUCACGUAUGAAAAAUUAAUACAUUUUAAUUGUAAUACGAUAGUUCAUAUUUUUGAUAAGAUUUUUCCACUUCAAAAAUUUAUUGGCUAGAAAUUUAUAAUUUUGUUCUAGCAAUUUAUAUUAAGAAAUUUGAGCAGAAUAACUAAUUAUUUAUGUAAGUUAAUACGACAAAAAUUUUCAUUUUUAUUUCGAAAUGAAGGAUUAAAUUAAUAGUUUUUAAAAUAACGAAGGUUUAUUUUGCAAUAUCUUUUAUAUCAAGGGUUGAUCUUGCAAUUCCUCUCUAAUUUGUUGUUUUGGACCUUUUGGUGACAUCUCUCUUUUUUGAUCUUUGUUUUGUUGUUUCAUCUUUCACAAUUUCCACAAGGCUUACAUUUACACUCUCCCAAAGUAUGUUGUGUUCUCUGUGGUAAAGCCUAAUCGAAUCGUUCUAUGGAAUUACCUAAACCGUUUUGAAAAUAUGAUAAACCCUUUGUUGCUUCUCUUACCCAUGCAAUUUACUCUGUCCAAACUUGAAUAUUAAAGAGGCAUAUCAAAGAGCCAUCAUGAGAUGCAACUUUUCUAUUCAUAGCAAAGCAGGAUCAUGUUCUUUCUAACAUCAUCUUACAUACAGUUAUACUCGCAUACGUUUCGAUAUGUACAGAGAAAGUUUAUUCGAAACUUGUACAAAGUCUGGAACUGGAGUUUGGUGCAAUCACUGGACUUGAACUGGGACAAGCUUGAGAGGUACUUUCUUGACGACUGUAAGAGUACCAACUUCUUCUGUAUCGAUGUCUUUAUGUGUCAUCCCAUCUGGUGCUCUCCAAUCGAAGAAGUAAAGUAAGUUCAAGAGUCCCAAUUCCACUAUAGUGAUCCCCAACCCCAUCCCGGGACAUAUCCUUCGACCGGACCCGAACGGUAAGAGCUCGAAAUGUUGUCCUCUAUAAUCCACAGGGUUGUUGAUAAACCUCUCGGGGUUAAACUCUUCCGGGUUUUUCCAGAGUUUCGGAUCUCUUCCUAUUGCCCAAGUGUUUACUAAGAUCCGUCUCUUUGGAGGAAUAUCAUAGCCUUGAACCUUGAUGUGAGCCAUUGUUUCUCUUGGGAGUAGAAGAGGAGCUACUGGAUGUAAUCUGAAUGUUUCCUUGAUCACCAAGUUCAAGAAAGGAACUUUAUUGAGAUCUUCUUUUGUGAUUCUCUCUUUAUCGUUGCCAAGGCGGUCUCGGAUCUCGCCUUGAACUUUCUUCAUUAGUUCCGGGUUUCUUGCGAGCUCCGUCAUUGCCCAUAUCAUAGUAAGAGCUCCUGUGUCUAUCCCUGCGAUAAUUAUAUUCUACCAAACACCGGGACACUAUGUUAAAUAUCAGUACAAAUGUUUUGAAACAAGUUUUGUUUUCUUUUUUUUUUACCGUGAGAAGUCCCUUAAUAUGAUCUGUUGUGAGCCUCAAAGAAUCAUCUUUGCCUUGUUUAUGCACCACAUCCAACAUUACAUCGACGAUAUCUUUGUGGUCUUUCGAUCUUCUAGGAUUUGAAUGAUCAUCGAUCACAAGUUGAAACAAAGCAUCGAGCUUGAAGAAGACAUUGUUGAGCCACUUGUGUUUCCCGGAAAUCCAGUCAACAAGCCAUCCAAGUCCGGCCAUAGGGAAGAAAUCAGAGUAAGUGAAACUAGCCUGAGCUGUCUCGGUUUCAAAUAUAAGUUCAUCGAUCUUGUCUUUAUCGUUAAACUCGUUGUCGUGGAAACUCUGUCCAAAAGCAAUUCUAAACAGGAUACUCGCAGCUAGCCAGAAAAGGGUUUUGCUCAAAUCAACCGGAGCCCGACCUACUGCUGAUUCCGACAGUUUCUUGACCAGAAAGUUACAUUCUUCUUCUAUGAACUCUCGAAAAGACUGAACCUUUUUAAAACAGAAAAGCUCUCGCACCAAGAACUUACGCCGCUCCCUCCACUCUUCACCGUAUGGAGUAAAACUGAUAUCUUUAAAACCCCGAGAGAUUAGCCUCGUCCCGACAAGCUUAGGCCUGCUGCAACACUUUAGGUCAUGAGUUCUAAGCACUUCUUCAGCUGCUUCCCUCGAUGAGAUAACAGUUACAGGGACAAACCCAAAGUGAAGAAGCAUAACAUGUCCGGUUCUUUCGGCUAGACGUUGAAAUGACCUAUGAGGCAAUUCUCCAACUUGGUGUAAGUUUCCGAUGACCGGAAACGUAGGAGGACUUGGAGGAAGAUUCCAUUUAAAGCGUUUGAUCUUCUUGAAGACAAAGAUUAACGAAACGAAGGUGAUGAGAAAAAGACAGAGUAAAGAGAUUGCCAUUUUUUUUUUCUCUUGGUUUAAAUUGAUAAUGCUCUGUUUUGGUAUAUUAAUAGUUCAAAGCGGCAAAUCCAAUGCUCAGUGAAGAUAAAAAGAGAUAACUCACACCGCUUACAUUUUAAUCAUGGUUAAAUAAAAUUUUUAAUAGUGUUACACAUUCGGUAGAUUUUAGAUUUUACUGAUGAUUGUUCAUAAUAUAACAAGUGUUAGAACACUAAUUGUUUUACAACUAAAGUCGUUUAGGUUUACUGGUGCACCUAAUUAAAAUCGUGUUAAAAGUAUUUGUGGUUAUAAGAUGGAAGAUUUAGCUUGUGUAGUGACGAGACCAAGACAAAAUAUGACUUCGUGUCCACUACAUUUGUUAGUUUUUGUUCCACCAUAGAUUAUAGAGUAAAAUAGAAGGCAAAUGCUUCUAAAACUCUCUUUUCAUGGUCCAUAAGAGAUUAAUACUGUACAAGCUCUUCAACUUUUUCUAUAUCGACAAAAUCACAUUGGAUACUUGAAACGACAAGGAUAAGUUUGAUCAAAUAACCCUGAUGAGAAUCGGGUUUAUGAGAGUCCGACCCAUUGAGUGGUGUCGACAUUUGUGAUCAACUAAAUUUUUCAUUUUUAUUUUAGAAAAUGUAAGAUACUAUAUUUGUUGCAUUUUAAACUUUAGAACUAUUAUCCAAGGACAUGAAAAUAUUUAAUGUUUUCUAUAACCGCGAUAUUUGCCUCUAAAUCCUAGUUAUCGUAGAUAUGAAGUCAGCUUCUAAUCUAUUUUCGUUGGGAAUGCCUCUUCUUCCAAAACAAAUUGAACUAGGGGCACAAUGGAACCAACUCCAAAUGGUCGCCAUUAACCUUAUUUUGGAUUGAUAAUCAAGAUAACUCAAAUAUCACCCCGGACGGAAACUCAUAUUCGCUAAACAACAGUAACCUCGAACUCCCGGUCUCCUUUUUUAUUCUCUCAUACUUAGGGUUUAGGUUCACAUAAGCUCUACUUUUUGAAAACUUAAUGUAUGGUCGGAAUUGUUUCUUAUAUAUUUGUGAUUGUCAUAUCUUUUGAUCUAACCAAUCCUUUUAGGUUUGUAAGCAUUAUUUCAGCGGGUCAAGAAUAUAGCUAGGGUCUAGGGAUAAUAUGUUAAACACACAUCGCAAUAUUUACCGUUCUCUUUAAUGUGUAAUCGUGUAAACGGUGUUCCAACAUCCAAAAAACCGACGAAAAAGAAAUCCUGUUGAAGUUACUUAGACGCAGAGCCGUCCAUGCGGCUAAGCGAGGAAUCCUUCUGCUUAAGACCUUCUUUUGAUUAUAUAUAAAAUCAGCCGCCCUUUUUACAGAAUUGUUUAAGUAGUCUAGUGGUAAAAGGCAUGUUACAUCAAGGGUAGGUGUACAAAUCGAGUCUCCUACCUCUAGCUUAGACGAAUCAGAUCCGAGCAUGUAAGGUUCUCGAGCUUUAUAUUCCUUAAACAGAAGUCCAGAACAAACAAAUCACAUAUGAAAUGUAGUAUUUAUUGAAAAUAUACUUAUACAUAAGAGAAGCUUACAUGAUUUGCAUAAUAUUUUUAUUCAAACAUCUUCAAAGUUUGGAGUAUGGUCUGAUCACUGAACUCGAACUGGAACAAGCUUUAGAGGUAUUUUCUUAACGACUGUAAGAGUACCAGCUUCUUCAGUAUCGAUAUCUUUAUGUGUCAUCCCAUCAGGCAACUUCCAAUCGAAGAAGUAAAGUAAGUUCAAGAGUCCCAAUUCCAGAGUAGCCAUCCCCAUCUCCAUCCCGGGACAUAUCCUUCGUCCAGACCCAAACGGUAAAAGCUCGAAAUGUUGCCCUCUAAAAUCCACGGGGCUAUCGAUAAACCUCUCGGGGUUAAACUCUUCCGGGUUUUUCCAGAGUUUCGGAUCUCUUCCUAUCGCCCAAACAUUGACCAAGAUCCGCCUCUUGGGAGGAAUAUCAUAGCCUUGAACCUUGACGUGAGCCAUUGUUUCCCUUGGUAGCAGAAGAGGAGCUACUGGGUAUAAUCUGAAUGAUUCCUUGAUCACCAAGUUCAAGAAAGGAACUUUAUCAAGAUCUUCUUUGGUGAUUCUCUCCUUAUUGUUGCCAAAGUGGUCUCGGAUUUCGCAUUGAACUUUCUUCAUUACUUCCGGAUUUCUAGCGAGCUCCGUCAUUGUCCAUAUCAUGGUAAGAGCUCCUGUGUCUAUCCCUGCGAUUAUUAUAUUCUACCAAACACCCAGAAACUAUUAGGUUAAGCUUUUUUUGUAUUAUUCUUUAAUGAAAUUCAAAUGCAUAUACAAAAAAAUGUAUUGAAACAAGUUUUGUUUUAUUACCGUGAGAAGCGCCUUAAUAUGAUCUAUUGUGAGCCUCAAAGAAUCAUCUUUGCCUUGUUUAUGCAUCAUAUCCAACAUUACAUCGACGAUAUCUUUGUGAUCUUUCGAUCUUCCAGGAUCUGAAUGAUCAUCGAUCACAUGCUGAAGCAGAGCAUCGAGCUUUAGGAAAGCAUCAUUGAGCCUCUUGUGUUGCCCGGAAAUCCAGUCAACAAGCCAUCCAAGUCCGGCGAUAGGGAAGAAAUCAGAGUAAGUGAAACUAGCCUGAGCUGUCUCUAUUUCAAAUACAAGUUCAUCGAUCUUGUCUUUAUUGAUAAACUCAAUCUCGUGGAAACUCUGUCCAAAAGAAACUCUAAACAGGAUCCUCGCAGCUAGCUCGAAAAGGGUUUUGCUCAAAUCGACCGGAGACUGAUCCACUGCCGAUUCUGACAAUUUCUUGACCAGAAAGUUACAUUCUUCUUCUUUGAUAUAUCCAAAAGACUCAACCUUUUUAGAACAGAAAAGCUCACGCACCAAGAACUUACGUCGCUCCUUCCACUCUUUACCGUAUGGAGUAAAAUUGAUAUCUUUAAAACCCCGAGAGAUUAGCCUCGACCCGAGAAGGUUAGGCCUGCUGCAACAGUCUAGGUCAUGAGUUCUAAGCACUUCUUCAGCUGCUUCUUUCGAUGAGAUCACAGUUACAGGGACAAACCCUAAGUGAAGAAGCAUCACAUGUCCGGUUCUUGCGGCGAGACGUUGAAGUGAUCUGUGAGGCAAUUCUCCAAGUUGAUGUAAGUUUCCUAUGACCGGAAACUUAGGAGGGCUUGGUGGAAGAUUCCAUUUGCAGCGUUUGGUCUUCUUGCCGAAAAAAAUUAACGAAACUAAAGUGAUGAGAAAAACACAGAGCAAAGAGAUACCCAUUUUGUUCUUCUUUUGGUUAUUGAGACAAAAUGGGAUUAUUAGCAUUGCUCUGUUUCAGUAUGUUAAUAGUUGUUUUUUUUCUUCAUUUUCUUAUAGUAUGGUAAUAGUUUAAAGCGGCAAUACAAAUUGAUGUAAUUAUUUAUUUAUUUUAUAUUUUAGAUGGAUCCAAUGAUCAUUGAAGAAAAAGGAUAUAAGGAUAGAUAGUCAAAAACUGCUUCACACUCAUUCUAAAAUUUUAUAAUAAUAAUUAAAAAAAAAACAUUUUAUUUGGAUUAAUAUGAGCUUUUUUCAAUCUCAUUCUAAAUAGUUUUAUGAAGAUGAGUUCUUUUAAUGGGAACAAUAUAUGCAAUUUUACAAAAGUGUACUGAAUUUUGCCUACGGAUAACUAUGUUAAAACAAUUUUACCAUUUCCCCAUUCGAGAAAAAUUAUGUAAGUGAUCAAUAUUAUGUCUAGAAGAUAUAAAUGAAAUUUUUUGCUUGAGGACCAAAUUUAAUACUGAUUUUUUUUUUUAGUUUUUGAUAUUCAUUGGAAAUUGGAAAAAAAAAGAAGAAACUUCACAACUAUCUGCUCGGUAGAUUUUGGAUCUUCCGGAUGGGUUGCUCAGUUUGUACGAAACAGUUGGAGUCUUCGACCACCACAAUUAAAUCGUGUAUUUAUGGUUUUAAGAUAAAAAGAUUUAUAGUUGAUGCUUUGUGUGGUUGUAGUAGUACAGUCUCUUUGCUAGUUUUUCUUCCACACAUAUUUUAAGAGGAAAAUAGAAGGCAAAUAUGCUUCUUAAAUUCCCCUCUAUGAGAUCCACACAAGUACUGAGCUAUUUCGAUAUUGAGCUAUUUGGCAGCAAGUGGUGAUAUCUGAUCACUUGGUUUCAAGGAUAUUUUUUGGGAGGGAGGUUGAGUACUUGUUUUCAGGUUUAGCUUAGAGGAAAUUGUACCUUUUGGAAAGACACGGAGUACGGUCAAAACUGCUAGUUAUUAUGAACUAGUUUUUGUUGUAUUUUUGGACCUAAUCGAUAUUUGAGGCUUAUAAACAUUCUUUUAGCGGAUCGGAAAAAUAGUUUAACAAUACUGUGUUACAUACACGACUCAAAAGUUAACAGUUGUUUUGAAUGUGUAGACGGUGUUUUGACGAUCUUAAAAGACCGAUGAAAAAUAAAUCUUACCAACAUUUCUUAGACGAAUCAGAUCCGAACCCAUAAGAAUUUCCAACCCAAAAGAGGUGGACAUAAGUACGUGGGUUAAAGCACAUAAUCAACUUUUUUGUGCAAAAGCACAUAAUCAACUAAAAAGGUGUUGUGAACUGUGUCUUUCAUUAAUAGGAUAGGGGAUAUAUAUACAAGGAUAAUAGCAGGAUACAGAGAAUAAGGUAAAACCCUAAUGGGCCAUGGACCGGUUAUGGAGUCCAUCUAUAUGGUUUAUAACACUCCCCCUUGGAAGACAUAACUGUGCCCGAUACUAAACCGGGAUCUCUAUAAUGCGCUGGGGAAUGUUGCCUCAUUAAAACCUUACCAGGAAAACCCAGUGGGACAAAACCAUGGUGAAGGAAAAAGAGUACAACACACAUUACUCCCCCUGAUUUGAGCAUCACUGUAAAUCCUUAAGUCCGCGCAUCCCGAUCUGAUGAAUGAGCUUCCGGAACGUUGAAGUCGGCAAUGAUUUGGUGAAUAGGUCGGCUGAAUUCUCACUUGACCGGAUCUGUUGAACUUUGACCUGACCGUCCUUCUGUAAUUCAUGAGUGAAUAAGAGCUUUGGCAAAAUGUGCUUCGUCCGGUCUCUCUUAGUGUAGCCGUCCUUGAGUUGAGCAAUACAGGCUGCGUUGUCUUCAAAUAUGAUGGUCUUUGAUGUAGUAGUAGCUGCGCCUUAAGGAAGGCUGCCUACGUACCCUUGGAAGGGAUCAAGCCACACGUAGUUCCUAUUCAUUGACCAUGCCAUAAUCUGAUCUUAUGAAUAACCUACAUCAGCAAAUCAAACUAAACCAAAGCAAACUGGACCUUCUUUGGUUAGAUCAGUAUAGAAUAAAUCCAAGUAAACAACGCAGGAAGAAUAAAUUUUAAAAUUUAACCAAACCUUCCUUUAAACUUUUCCAGUGCCUUUGGGUUGAUCAUGAACUAAAUUUAGACAGGAGACUCACGGCAAAACAAAUGUUUGGUCUAGUGUGUCUAGCCAAAUUCAUUAGAACUCCUAUGGCACUGAGGUAUGGCAUUUCCGGACUGAAUGGAUCACUAUCCAAUUUGAGGCUUCUCACCACCAUUGGGCCUGGUCAAUGGGCGGGCCUGGUCCUUAUUAAAUUUCCUUGAGUACUCUUUCAGUGUAUGCCAUUUGAUGCACAAGGAUUCCAUUAUUCACGUACUCAGGUUGUAAUCCCAAACAGAACUUAAUUAUUGCCUAGGUCUUUCAUUUGAGAUUCUUUCUUUAGAUAUACUCAACUGUUUGGGCGAUUAUCCAGAGGUUUAAAUCAUUCAUAUACACUGCUAUGAUUACAAAUCCUUUGUUUGCAAACUUUUUGAUAAAAAUACAUGGACUGAUCGGAUCGUUUUUAUAGCCUUCUCUGAUGAGAUAUUCGCUUAACCGGUUAUACCACAUACGUCCGCUUUGUUUCAGUCCAUAUAAGGAUUUGUCCAGCCUUAUGCAGUGCUGUUCUCGAAAAUCUUUCUUAUCUUUGAGCUCAAUACCCUCUGGUAAUCUCAUAUAUUAUCCAGUGGACUUAUAUAAAUAUGCAGGCAUUACAUCCAUUAGCCGCAAAUCUUUCUCUUUUAUAUAGCCAGACUUAGCAAAAAUUUAAAUGUCUUAGCAUCCACCACAGGGGAGUAUAUCUCCUCUAUAUCUGGUCUUUGUGUGAAUCCUUGUGCGACAAGCCGUGUCUGAUAUAUCACGCUUUCACUAUGUUUAUUUCACAUAAUCACAAAGACUCAUUUGUCCUACUGGCUUUACAUUGAAUGGUGUCCUUCAUAUUGAACCAAACACAUUCUUCUUCUUAAUGAUUCUUAGCUCCACGUUUUAUGGUCUUGUGCCAUUUUAAUCAAUCAGGUCUUUGAGUGCACUCUAGUAUAGACGUGGGCUCCUGAUCCUCAUUCAUUUCAGUUGCUACCUUGUGCGCAAAUAUAUUAUCAUUUAUGUCGACAUUUUUUCGGUUCCAUUGUAUUCUAGACAUGAUAUAGUUUAUAGAGAUCUCUUUACACCUUCAGGACCUUGAGGUUUGGCGUCCCAAACCUCAUUGAUUGGUACCUUAGGGUUAUGUCUAUUAGCUGGCCAUGUCUAUGGUUUCUUGAACCUUCUCGGUUUCCCUUGCACCUUUCUUUGAUUUCCGAAGGUUCUUGUCUUUGGAACCUUUUGGGUCUACCACGUUUCUUACGUGUUGUAGCCUCUGUAGCAACUUGAUUGUGUUCCUUGUGAACAUCAAUACGUACUGGUGCAUUACAAGCUGGUAUGUACGAUUUUGUUACUCUCUUUGGGUCAUUAUAGGAAUCUUGGCAACUAUUUUAGCUAGCUUUUGCAGAUAUAUAGUCUUUUGGAUCUCUGAUGGAGUCCGAGGAUCUUGCCAUGUGAAGGAUGUUUGAUUCCAUAUAAGUUCUUUGACCAGCUUGUUAGUCUCUCCACCCAGUGUUGGGAAAACGGAUUCAUUGAGAUGACAAUCCUUGUAUCUGGCCUUUGGCUCGAGAUACUUAAUGAUGGUGGGAGAAUCAUUUUUAACGUAUAUUCCCAUCCCCUUUUGAGGUCCCAUCAUUUGCUCUCUGUGGUGGUGCUAUGGGUAAAUAGGUGACACACCCAAAUGUCUUUAGAUGGGAAACGUCUGGCUCAUGAUCCGUUAGCAAUUGGGAUGGGGAAUAUCUAUGCUCACUAGAUGGCCGAAUGCGUAUUAGUUCAACAGCGUGUAAAACUACAGCCAGAAUUGAUAAUAGAUAAUCUGUGCAAAAUUCGUGCAGAAAUACAGACAAAAUUGAUAACAUAUAAUCCGUGCAAAAUUCGUGCAAAACUACAGACAGAAUAGAUAACAGAUCAUCUGUGCAAAGUUCGUGCAGAAAUACAGACAGGAUUGAUAACAGAUAAUCCGUGCAAAAUUCGUGCAGAAACAAAUAUGAACAGAAAACUUAUCUCGAUAGAGUUUAAAAUUUUGUUUGCAGAGACAGCUAGGGUUUUGGUUUUGGUUUUUGUGAGAGAGAUUUAGGGUUUCAGGAUUUUUUUUUUAAUUUUUAGGGUAAGAGGCUAUCGUGCUGAUAACGUGUUGUGAACUGUGUCUUUCAUUAAUAGGAUAGGGGAUAUAUAUACAAGGAUAAUAGCAGGAUACAGAGAAUAAGGUAAAACCCUAAUGGGCCAUGGACCGGUUAUGGAGUCCAUCUAUAUGGUUUAUAACAAAAGGCUCAUUUUUGAAGAAAAACCAUAAAACAGGGACCAAAACUAAUUUUAUAAGAAAACAUUUCAUCCUUUGUAGUUUAAAUUAGGAUCCAACAAAAUAAUGUUUCAAAUAAUAUAGUAAGUCACAAAGCAAAAAAAAAAUGCACUAAUGCCUUUAAAAUUGUUAGGCCGAGGCUGUCCAAGCCAACAAAUCGCAUCAAAAUUUUAACAAAAAGUCUUACAGAAAAUUAUUCGUCAUACAUUAUUUAGUUAUCAGAUAAGCUUACAGGAUUUGCAUAAUAUUUUUAUUCAAACAUCUUCAAAGUUUGGAGUUGGUCUGAUCACUGAACUCGAACUGGAACAAGCUUUAGAGGAACUUUCUUGACGAUUGUAAGAGUACCAGCUUCUUCAGUAUCGAUAUCUUUAUGUGUCAUCCCAUCAGGCAACUUCCAAUCGAAGAAGUAAAGUAAGUUCAAGAGUCCCAAUUCCACAGUAGCCAUCCCCAUCGCCAUCCCGGGACAUACCCUUCGACCAGAGCCGAACGGUAAUAGCUCAAAAUGUUGUCCACUGUAAUCCAAAGGGCUAUUGAUAAACCUCUCGGGGUUAAACUCUUCCGGGUUUGUCCAAACUUUAGGAUCUCUUCCUAUCGCCCAAGCGUUGACCAAGAUCCGUGUCUUCGGAGGAAUAUUAUAGCCUUGAACCUUGAUGUGAGCCAUUGUUUCCCUUGGGAGAAGAAGAGGAACUGGAUGGUGUAAUCUGAAUGUUUCCUUGAUCACUAGGUUCAAGUAAGGAACUUUAUUGAUAUCUUCUUCGGUGAUUCUCUCCUUAUUUCUGCCAAGGCGGUCUCGAAUCUCGCCUUGAACUUUCUUCAUCACUUCCGGGUUUCUAGUGAGCUCCGUCAUUGCCCAUAUCAUGGUAAGAGCUCCUGUGUCUAUCCCUCCGAGAAAUAGAUUCUAGCAAACACGCGGAAACUAAGUUAAAUAUCCAGAUUCUGUUUCUAUGCAAAUGUGUUGGGCCUAGAAAGCCUUAAGGAUAACCUGAGUUAUCAAAAAAAAAAAAAAAAAAAUGUGUUGAAACAAGUUUUGCUAUUAUUUACCGUUAGAAUUCCCUUGAUGUUAUUGAUUGUGAGCUUCAAGGAAAUAUCUUUGCCUUGUUUAUGCAUCACAUCCAACAUUAUAUCGACAAUAUCUCUGUGAUCUUCAGAUCUUCUGCCCGGAUGUAAAUGAUCAUCGAUCACACCUUGAAACAGAGCAUCCAGCUUGAAGAAAACAUCUUUGAGCCUCUUGUGUUGCCCGGAAAUACAGUCAACGAUCCAUCCAAGUCCGGCAAUGGGGAAGAAAUCAGAGCAAGUGAAACUAGCCUGAGCUGUCUCGGCUUCAAACACAAGCUCAUCGACCUUGUCUUUAUCGAUAAACUUACUCUCGUGGAAACUCUGUCCAGAAGCAACUCUAAACAGGAUACUGGCGGUUAGCCAGAAAAGGGUUUUGCUCAUAUCGACUGGAGUUCGAUCCACUGCUGAUUCCGACAGUUUCUUGACAAGAAAGUUACAUUCUUCCUCUCUGAUAUACCCGAAAGACUGAACCUUCUUCAAACAGAAAAACUCACGCACCAAGAACUUGCGCCGCUCCUUCCACUCUUCACCGUAUGGGGUAAAACCGACAUCUUUAAAACCCCGAGAAAUUAGCCUCGUCCCAACAAGCUUAGGCCUGCUGCAACAGUCUAGGUCAUGAGUUCUAAGCACUUCUUCAGCUGCUUCUUUCGAUGAGAUAACAGUUACAGGGACAAACCCUAAGUGAAGAAGCAUAACAUGUCCGGUUCUUUCGGCUAGACGUUGAAGUGACCUGUGAGGCAAUUCUCCAAGUUGAUGUAAGUUUCCGAUGACUGGAAACUUUGGAGGGCUUGGAGGAAGAUUCCAUUUAGAGCGUUUGAUCUUCUUACCAAGAAGGAUUAACGACGCAAAGGCGAUGAGAAGAAGACAGAACAAAGAGAUUGCCAUAUAUAUAUAUAUAUUUUUUUUGAAAUGGAUAAAUGCUCGCUCUGUUUCGGUAUACUCAAACCGCUUACAUUUUAAUCAUGAUGAAAAAGUCUACUAGUUAAAUAAUUUUUUUUUAUAGUGAUACAUAUUUGAUAAAUUUGAGAUUUUACGGAUGAUUGCUCAAAUAUUGUGGAGUUGAAGGUUCCACAUCUAGAAAUAAAUUUUGAUAUGUGCAAAUAUGAAUGAUCAAGAACGUCUGCGAUACUUAUGCCUAAAAACAUCCUAGAAUGAUAGACAUAAAAAAAGAUAUUUAAAACCAGUAAAAACACAACACCUAUAAAAAAUUUAAAACUCUGACAUAAAUUCGAUGAUACGUUGUUAAAACACUUUAUUUUUAACAAAAAUCGUUUAGGUUUACUGGUGCACCUAAUUAAAAUCGUGUUAAUUUUUUUUUUUUUUGUGGUUGUUAGAUGGAAGAUUUUAGUUUGUGUAGUUUAUCUUUGCUAGUUUUUGUUCCACAUAUAUUUUUAAGGCGAAAAUAUAUAGAAGGCAAAUGCUUCUAAAACUCCUCUUCAACAUUUCUCAAUAUUGACAAAAUACAUUGGAUACGGAGAGCCCGAUCCAUUGAGUGGUCUCCACAUUUCUUGUCAAAUAAGGUGUUUAAUAUUAUAAGAGAAAUUGUUAAAAAUGUCCAUUUUUCAAUAUCCCUUUUCAAAAAUGCCCCCUUUGAGAGUCCAUUUUUAAGUUUGCCCUCUUUUAAUUUUUAAUGACCAUUUUACUCUUAUUUGAAACAAAAUUAGGUCCACAAAAUACAAAAUAUUUUUUGGCGGGAAAAGUGAUCCCGCAAUUUUCCCGCCAAAACAAUUGUAAAAACCUUUAAAAAACCUUGUAAAAUUUUCCCGUAUAAAUUUUUCCCGCCAAAAAAUUUUCCCGCCAAAAAUUUUUUUUUGCGGGAAAAGUGAUUCCGCAAUUUUUUUGCGAAAUUUUUUGGCGGGAAAAAUUUACAAGGUAUUUUAAAGGUUUUACAGAGUAUUUACAAGUGUUUUGUAAGGUUUUACAAUGUAUUUUAAAAGGUUUUACAAAGUACUUAUAAGGUUUUAUAAGGUAUUUAUAACUUGUAAAAGCUUAUAAAAAACUUGUAAAACCUUAUAACUUGUAAAAACCUUAUAAAAUAGCUUUCAAAAUCUUAUAAUAUCUUAUAAAUGGACAGCCAAAGGGGGCAUUUUUGAAAAAGGGUAUUAAAAAAUGGGCAUUUUUGUGAGUCUCCCUUAUUAUAAUUCUUUUUUAUCGAAAUAAAAAGAAGAAAACUAUUAAAUGUUUGGUAGUAAACAAAGAGAUGAUCCUUAAGAGCGCCAGAAGGAGCUUUUCACCGUUCCAUGCGGAAGUCGACUCCCUGUUAUAGGCGAUGGAAUACAUGAUCUCGAUUGGUGACUUCUCUGGUGCCUUCGCCUCCGAUUGCUCUGAUUUGGUCUUCCUCAUUGAUAACCAAGAUGAGUGGCUUAUUUUUGCAGCAGAGAUGGCCUCGUUUCGAUUUCUAAUUUGUUUUUCCCCUCUUUUAGCAUUAGAUAUAUUCCUCGUAAGUUUAAUUGUCGGGCUGAUUGUUUAGCCAAAAAAGCUCAGGCUCGUAAUAGCCUUUUCUCCCAUGUAAGCACAUCGGUUCAUGAUUGGCUUUUCCUAACGGAAAAUCUCUUUCCGAUAACUUAAUAUAAAUGACGUUUGAUGAAAAAUAAAAAACAAAGAGAUGAUCUAAAUUUUUUUCGACUGAUGAUUAAGAUAAACCCAAAAAUUCUUACUAUUCACGUUAAAAAAUAAUUCACGCGUUGCUUGGAUUUAGUAUAAUAUAUUAUUUUUCUUAUAAAGAUCAAAUAUUUAUAAUCAUAACAGUGGAAAAUAAAUCUAAAUAUUGAAAAUUUGACUAAUAUCUAUGUUUUAUUUCAUUUGAAAAUGUAUAAUUGAUAUUUUAUAUUAAAAAAAUACUUGGAUUGAACCCUUAUAGUCACCCUCUUUAUUUCAGCCAAUCAGAAUCUGCCACCUAAUAAUAAUAAAAAAAUUCAUUUAAUUAGAAAAUCUAAUUUGCCACUAAAACAAAAUUAUGUAUCGGUUUGAGUUUAUUAGAAAGGGUUAGAGUUUAGAUUUUAUGAUUAAACGAGGUUAAAUAUCGGUUUGGGUUUAGAAAGUACGACUGGAGUUUAGAUUUUAUGAUUAAAUUAAACGAGGUUAAAUAUCGGUUUGGGUUUAUAAACGGAUUAAAAUUUUACAAUUAAACGAGGUUAAAUAUCGGUUUGGGUUUAGAAAGUACGAUUAGGGUUUAGAUUUUAUGAUUAAAUGAGGUUAAAUAUCUGUUUGGGUUUAUAAAUGAAUUUAGAUUUCACAAUUAAACGAGGUUAAAUGUCUGUUUGGGUUUAGAAAGUACGAUUAUGAUUUAGAUUUCUUACGAUUAAACGAGUCUAAAAGGCGGUUUGGGUUUACAAAGGAGAAUUAGGGUUUAGAUUUUAUAAUUAAGAUUAUAUCGGUUUUGGUUUAUAAAAGAGUGGUUAGGGAUUAGAUUUAAUAAUUAAAUGAAUUUAGUUUUUUUUUUAUGUGGUGAAUUCUGAUUGGUUAAAAUAAAAGGGGGUGAAUAACCCCUAGGAAUGAACCCAAGUAUUGCUUUUUUAUAUUUGCACAAUCUAAUAUUUAAAUGCACUUAAAAAUAGCUAUGAAAAAUAUAUUUUUGUUUUUCAAAACGAAUACAUAUCCAACACUUAAAUAAUGUUACCACAUCUUCAUCUAUAAUACUAUCAUUGUGUUUUCAGACCACUCUUUAGCCUACCGCUUUUUUUUUUAUUUCAAACGACUAUUUGGCUUACUGUUUUCUGUUAUUUUGAGAUGUUAAUCUUGUGAUGCAACCUUAAACAUCGUCUUGUUAGAUAAAAACAUAAUAUAUAUAUUAAAUAUGUUGUUUCCACCAAUUGGUUGGGUUAAAAACAUUUGAUUUAAAUGAUAAAUUCUCAAACGUAUGUUUCUAUUUGAUUAUGUUAUAUAGUUGUAGUUCCAUUUAAGAUAUAUGUAACAUAAUUUUACAUAUCACUAUUUUUUGUUUACAACUUACAUAUGUUUAUGUAUAUUUUGUUAUACAACUCAUGAAUAAUAUAAUCAUUGUUAUUUUUAAUUUUUUAAAAGAAAGAUUAUAAUGUUUUUGAAGUUUUAAGAUUUGUUUCUAAUUUUCUAUAGGUUUACAAAAAACUGUAGCUCUUUCAAUGUCUUUGACUUCAAUUAAAAUUCUUAAGUUGGGUUUAAUUAGUAAAUUUUCUUAAGUGUACACUUAAUAAUAAAGAAAAACUCUUAAUAGUAUAUUGCUCUUACAAAUUAAUGUUUCACUUUAAAUUUUAUUUUUUCUUUACUGUUUUACAAACACAGUUACAUAAAUCUUUUUCUACACAACCAUGCAUUUAAAUUUCACUUUCAUACUAAAACUCAUUAGCACAUUCAAAAAUUAGAAGUAUGAUCAUUUUUAAUUUUUUUUUAAUGUUUUUGAAUGUCUGGAUAUAUUAAUUUUCUUUUAACAUAAUAUUUCAUAGUAUUAUUUUGACUAUUUUACAAUUUCAUUUAUUUUAUUAAAUUUGUUUGUAUUUAAUUAAAAUUUCUGUUAAUUAUAAUUAACAUCAAUAUAAAUAAUAUAUGGAUUAAAAUGAACAUUAAAAUUAGACUUUAAUGUAAAAAUAAAAAAUAUUGACUAAUGACAUGAUUUUGUUUAAUUGGAUGUUUAACAUGAUGAUGUGAACAUCUUGAUAGGAGAGUUUUCUCUCUUAUUAUAUAAAAGUUGAAUUAUAUUAUGUUUACUAAUAAAAAAUUUAUAGUAAUACUUUUACGAUUAUAAAUUUUCAUUUAUUUUAUUUAUUUCGUUUUUAUUUAAUUAAAAUUUUUAUUAAUCAUAAUUAACAUUAAUAUAAAUAAAUAUGAAUUAAAUGAACAUUGUAAUUAGACAUUAAUAUAAAAAUAAAUAUUUUUGAUUAAUGACAUGGCUUUGUUCAAUUGAAUGAUUAACAUGAUGAUAUGGACAUCUUACUAGAAGAGAAAACUCUUCCAUUAUAUAUAUAGAUUCUAGGUUCACAAAACUAUUCUCUUGAAAGACUCGACGUAUGGUCGGAAUUGCUCCUUAAAAAGUUUGUGGUUGUUUUAAUUCAAAACAGAAAAAAAGUUUGCGGUUGUUGUAUCUUUCGAUCUAAAGUAUCUUAUUAAGGAUAUGAUUGAUAUCCUUGAUUGUCUAUGAUUGCGUAUGUCAAGGGUUCGUAUAUGUAAGGUUGUAUAUACUCUCAUUCAUUACACUUGUGUACCCUAGGUCUCCCUCUCCUGUAUAUAUAUUGUAGUUCUGAGAAUGUAAUAAGAUCAUCACUUCUACAAACAUCUAUAUGGUAUCAGAGCAGAACGCUCUUUAAAACCUAAAUUUUUUUUUUUUUUUUUUUUUCAGCCGUCAUCUUCUUCCUUUCUGUUCAAACACAAUGUCAAACACCAACAAUGAAGUCAAUCUAAUCGCUAUUGCUUCCAACUCUGUUCUGCAUGUUAACAUGUCCAACGUGACCAAACUCACUGGCACGAACUACAUGAUGUGGAACCAACAGGUCCAUGCGCUCCUUGAUGGCUAUGGCCUCGCCGGUCACCUUGACGGAUCCGUUGCUGUUCCGCCCGCCACAAUCACUGUCGCCAAUGAAGUCACUCAGAAUCCAGCCUUCAUCCGCUACCAUCGCCAAGAUAAGUUGAUUUACAGUGGUUUGAUUGGUGCUAUCUCUGUUACUGUGCAACCUGUUGUCUCUCGGGCCAUCACGGCUUCACAGAUCUGGGAAAAGCUGGCCGGCACGUACGCCAAACCAAGCCGUGGCCACAUCAAGCAGUUGAAAACGCAAAUCAAAAACUACAACAAAGGAUCAAAGACGAUUGAUGAAUAUAUGCAGGGACUCAUCACGAGGUUUGAUCAACUUGCUGUUCUUGGUAAACCAUUUGAUCAUGAAGAUCAAGUGGAGCUCAUUCUCGCUGGUCUUAGCGAUGACUACAAACCAGUUAUCGACCAAAUUGAGAGCAAAGACAACCCUCCCAGCCUCACCGAAGUCCAUGAAAGGCUGCUGAACCAAGAGGCGAAGCUACUUGCUACGACUGACAAGCUCUCCCUUGCCUUGCCUGCUUCUGCCAACGUCGCUCAGCAACGUCAUCAAUCCAACCACAACAAAGGCAACUACAACAGCAACAAUAAGAGACAGUACCAAGGUUCGUAUGGCUCAUCGUCAAGCCAGCAGCCUCAGCAACAAUUCAACAAUGCUCAAGAGAAUCGGCCUUUCAAGCCAUACUUGGGUAAAUGCCAAAUCUGCAACACUCAAGGUCAUAGUGCGCGCCGGUGUCCACAGUUUCAGUCUCGUGGAGCACCGCAGCAGAUGUCGUCUCCAUUCACUCCUUGGCAGCCCCGCGCAAAUCUUGCCGUCGCCUCUCCUUACGCUGCCAACAACUGGCUCCUCGACAGCGGUGCUACACACCACAUCACGUCGGACCUCAACAAUUUAGCUCUCCAUCAACCUUACACCGGUGGUGAUGAUGUGAUGAUUGCCGAUGGGUCUACUAUCCCGAUCACACAUACUGGUUCUACUUCUCUACUUACAAAAUCUCAUACAUUAGAUCUUAACAAAGUUCUAUAUGUCCCUAAUAUACACAAAAACUUAAUUUCUGCGUAUCGAUUAUGUAACGCUAAUCGUGUCUCUGUGGAAUUCUUUCCCGCAUCAUUUCAGGUGAAGGAUCUCAACACGGGGGUCCCAUUACUCCAAGGCAAAACUAAAGAUGAGUUGUAUGAGUGGCCCAUUGCAUCGUCUCAAGCGGUUUCGCUGUUUGCGUCUCCAUGCUCGAAAGCUACUCACUCGUCAUGGCACUCACGUUUGGGCCAUCCGUCCUCUGCAAUUUUAAAUUCAAUUAUUUCCAAUUUUUCACUUUCAGUUUUAAACCCUUCAAACAAACUAUCAUCUUGCUCCGAUUGUUUGAUCAAUAAAAGUCAUAAAGUACCUUUUUCUAAUUCCACUAUUUUCUCUACCCGACCACUUGAGUAUGUCUUCUCUGAUGUUUGGAGCUCACCUAUCAUUUCUCUUGACAAUUUCCGUUACUAUGUCAUUUUUGUUGACCACUACACCCGAUAUACUUGGCUCUACCCAUUAAAACAGAAAUCUCAAGUCAAAAACACUUUCAUAACCUUCAAAAAUCUUGUGGAAAACCGGUUUCAAACACGGAUUGGUACAUUCUACUCCGACAAUGGGGGAGAGUUCAUUGCGUUACGAGAAUACUUCUCUCAAAAUGGUAUCUCUCAUCUCACUUCACCGCCUCAUACACCGGAACACAAUGGCGUGUCCGAACGGAAGCAUCGCCACAUUGUUGAGACAGGCCUCACUCUCAUGUCUCAUGCCUCCAUACCAAAGACGUAUUGGCCAUAUGCCUUUGCAGUGGCUGUUUACCUUAUCAAUCGCCUACCAACGCCUCUACUUCAACUUCAAUCACCGUUCCAAAAGUUAUUUGGGAUGCCUCCGAAUUAUGACAAACUCAGAAUAUUUGGAUGUGCUUGUUAUCCCUGGCUCCGACCGUACAAUCAACACAAGUUAGAAGACAAGUCUCGCCAAUGUGUAUUUUUGGGUUACUCUCUUAGCCAAAGUGCGUAUCUCUGUCUUCAUAUCUCGACUGGCAGAAUAUACACGUCUCGACAUGUACAGUUUGAUGAGCAACAUUUUCCAUUCUCUGCUCUUCACUCUGGUGUGACGUCAGCCCGUGAAGAAAUUCAAGAAUCAUCACCGCAAUGGCCAUCUCAUACAACUCUCUCAGUCCCGAUUUCGGUUUUACCGGCACCCCCGUGUUCGAGUCCCCACCGUGAUAACUCCCCCGCUCCGCCGUCACCGCCAGUCCAGUCACGCAACUCUCAGGUAUUUUCUCCGACUCAAUCUUCUUCUCCCUCCUCCACGUCUUCUCCUUCUUCCCCUGAGCCCACUGCUCCAAGUCAAAAUGGGCCGCAACCCACGGCCCAGCAACACCAAACACAAACACAUACAAAUCCAACCCAACAAAUAAAUCAUCAAAUAAGCCCAGAACAAAACAGCCCAGAACAAAUAAGCCCAAAUCAAAACAGCCCACAUCAAACCAACUCAAAUCAAAAUAGCCCAAAUCAAACAAGCCCAAUAAACUCAACCCAAACACAAUCCACGUCUUCUACCCCUACCACUCACGACUCAACAAUCUCAUCUUCUCCAUCUCUGGUUUCACCAUCACCUGAACCCAUCGCUCCACCACCUUCAAAUAUCCAUCCGAUGGCUACCCGGGCAAAAGCCGGAAUCGUAAAACCUAACACAAAAUA